UCAUUAUAUAGGAAGGUUUAACUAAUGAUGUUUUUCUUUGUAUAGAAAGAAGGGUUCAGUGGGAGGGCAAAAGGUAGUUAAGUUUUAGGUUGGCUCUUGUUUUUUACAUACUUUCUUUUCGGUGUAAUUUAAUAAAGAAGUAGCAAUUGAUCAUUUUAUUUCAUUUUUUUGCACUGGUAGUUCUUUUUCAUUUGAAACAUUAAUCUCAAAACCCGCCGAGAUGUAUUUGGUGAGAGUGCGGUAGUGUCUGCUCAAUGAUGAACUAAUGAAGCCGAAUGAAACAGCAGCAGUUCUACAGAAGAUGGAUGUGGGAGAUACACGCUGGUGGAGAACAUUCUAGAGAGGCUCCUCAGAUCGAAGUUGCUGGGAGCAAGAAAAAGUGAAGCUGUUUCAAAAUGGGUGCUCCGCACCGGCGAAUUAGUGACUUUUGUCUUCGAAAUCCGUAAUGUGUUUGUCCGCUACUUAGUUUUCUAUUAGUUAAUUCAUCACUUUUUUUUCUGCUGAAUUAGCGGUCUGACCCCCAAUUUUGCACGGCUAGACUCACUUUUAUACUGUCUAAAAGACAUGGAACCGAGAGAAGAACGAUGGCAUGCAGUCUUGGAUGCACGAUUCCAGAUUUGUCUGGCCGGCCAAGCACAAGUAGGAUGACACUCAGAUUUACUUUAUUUUUUCUCUCUAGAUUAAUAAUUAAAUAUUAGCCAUUAAAUAAUUAAGAUCAAUGAUGCUACUCCCUCCGUCUCAUAUUAGGCGACUCAAAUGUGACCAGAUAUGGAUGUAUCUAUGCCAAAAAAGCGUCUAGAUACAUGUAAUAAAAAGUCACUAAUAAUGGAACGGAGAGAGUAGCUUUUAAGCCCACUAUUGAGUUUACACGUGUGCAAUGCACGUUUUCACAAUGCGCGUCUUUUGAACUUAAUUACUCUAAGUUAUUUAUUAUUGAUGUUUUCUCUAACAAAUGACACAACCAAUCCAAAUCCUAAACGUCUUGUGCAGCAACUGCUGGUAGUGUUUUCAGUAAAAUCCUCAUGUUGACAUCUGAUGAAGCACCUUUAAGCAUCCCAGUGAAAUCCUUGAGGUCAUAAAUUGGAGGUUACAAUUAAACAAUGGAAGUCUAGAAUGCUGCAAUCUUAGUAAUACAAUACAUAAUUGACCUUACCCUCGCAGUGCAGAAAUACAGAAUGCAAGAAAGUUAAUCUUGUCAGAAAAAACUUAUAGAAGGCGACGACUAAAUACCGACUAAAUGCUACGAAUCUAUGUUGAUCUGUGUAUAGUUAGACAGACACAAAAAAAUCUGCAGCGCGAUUAUCUUUAAGAGAGAGCAUAAGUGAGCAAGCAGGAGAGGAAUGCUGGUCCUCUCAAUGAAGCAACAGAUAGAAAUUCGUCCUGAAACUGUAAGUUACUCAAAAUCACCUAAAACAAGCAGCAACAGAUAGAAGACGAUCUUCAGAGAAAAUAUGGUCAGCACUGAAUGGAUAUGGCCGAAGCUUCCCAAAAAUGUCCCACUGAACACUAACACGGAACCAAAUAUAAACAUUUAUGUUGCAUCUUUCACCUUCUCUGAUUCUCUGUUUAUGUCCUCUGGUAUCUUGACAAAAUCAUUUAGCUUGGCCUACUUCUCACAAAAUUCACAGCAUGAACUGAUUCGAGGAGACCCAGAUCUGGGGUUUCCCCCAGAGCACCCUGAGCGAGGGAACGAGAACUGCAGGAACGAUGUUUUCAACAAGGUGACGGCGCAUAGACGCCGCCAUCGCCAGCCAUGACAAAGCUCGGCUCGGUUUUCACCGGUAGUCGCGUCUCCCUGAACACACAGAUCAAGACGUUCCGGGCUGGACGGCCGAGCACCGUGUCAGGAUGCCAACAGCUGGGACGCGCAACACGUCCAAGAAGUGCUAGACGCCAUCGGGACGUGAGAAGGGUGCGCUCCUCGCCGCCUCCCUCAUCGACGGUGGCUGGCUUUGCCCGACCUCGGCCUCAGGGGACUGCAAGAUGGAGGGAGGAUGGAUGGAACGCGGAGGCCGGCGGUGCUGGGAAAUUGCCCCCGAGCCGCUAGGAGGACGAUGCGGGGGAGAGGAGUUGAAAUCCGUUUUUUUAGGAGCUGUGGAUCUAUUGGCUUUGCCACAAGCCCACCAAGAAGUUAAUGAAACAGUUAAUGACCACAGCUAAACACCAGCUGUUUAGUCUAGCUCUGUACUCCGUAGCAAACAAGCCGCUGCAGGGACGGAUCGGUUCAGCUAGUUAAGGAGUGAUUCCCAAAAGACACAAGAAAAUAUGUGGCAUUGGCUUCAGCACUAGGCACUUGUGACUUGACUAACUAUGUUGUGUGAUCUCUACGGCUUCCUCUUACAAUCAACUCCGAGUCCAGGAGGCAACCAAAAUGCUGCAAAAUUGCACCCUCGAUCUCUACAGGAAAACAGGAACACUUCUCCAAAUGUGCUUGACGCUUAGCCGCUCACCCACGCUUGGUUCUAGAAGACAUCGAAUUACCGGAAGUGCUAUAAAAUGAAUCGGAACACUGAGGAAAGCAUUCAGUUCACCACCAAGUGAAGGAUAUUGAAUAAAUCCAUUACCUGCAUGCUUUCAACGAAGUAAAAUUUUCAAGACUCGGUCUCGGUGUAGAUGGAUUGAAUAUUAGCCCAGUAUGAAACAAAUCUACACUUGUGCUGUAACAGAAUGCUUGACUACUUGCAUGUCUAUUGCACAUAAUUGUUCAAUAUGUAUAUACUCACAGAUGUACGAAACAAUGAAGAAUAGCAUGAGCACAAUAAUCUGUUGCUUAGCUAGAACAAGUACUCUACGGAGUUUCAGAAGGGAUGAUCUAGGGAAGUACCAAUGCAUUAGACAAAGCUAGAUACCAUCUGAAAGCUAGAUACCAUCUGAUGAUCACCGAAGCUCUGGACAUGGUUGAAGGUGGUAUUAGAGCAUCUCCACGAGCAGGAGAAAAAUGAUUCCCAAAACCAGAUAACCAUUUUUUCCUCCCCAAACAGCUCCACCAGCUCACCAAACGCAAUUUACAAUGAGUAAACUUUUAGGGAAGGAGGAAAAAUCUCUCUCCUCCCCCCUCCAAAUAGGGAGCCAGCACCCGAGCGCGAACUACCGACCGCCGAUCCGGACGGCCGCCGCCGCCAAAUCCGCGCCGGAGCCGCCGCCCAGAGGCCCCCCCAGCUGCCCGGAGGCUCGCCGCCGCCCCCGACUCCCUCCCCCGUCUCGGACCUGCAGUUCCCCGGUGCUCUGCCGCCCCGGCCAAGAAGCCGGUAGCCGCCGCCAAACCCGCGCCGACUGCCGCCGCCCCUCGACAACCUGCCUCGUCCCAGCAUCCUCCGGUGCACCGACUCCCUCCCCCGGUGCCCGCUGCCCCUGACUCCCUCCCCCAUUGGCCACCGCGGGAGCUCCGCCGGCCACGGCAGGGCUAUCUCCCCCGAUCUGCCAUCCCAUCCUCCCGGCCGCCUCCUCCUUCAACCUCCCGUCGACCGUGCCCUCCUCCGAAGGUGAUUUUUCUUCUUCUUUUUUCAUUCAUUUUGCAAUUGAAUUUGCUUCUGAUUUCAUGCAUUUUUGUAGAUGACUUCACUUGUUCUUCAAUUUUUUGAAGAGCAAUUGUCAGAGGAUGAACAAGAAAUAGAUGAUGAUGAGGAUGAUUUGCUUGCAGUCAUGCUGACGGACAAGGAGAUGAAGAAGAAGAAGUAUGGUUGUUCUAGGCCGGGCAAACAGCUGAUUCAUCGGAGAAGACAGGAAGCUCAACGCCAUCUCAUUCUUGACUAUUUUGCUCCCAAUCUGGUAUAUCCACUCGAUACUUUAGGCGUCAGAAUAGGAUGUGUAGAGAUUUGUUUCAGCGUAUUGCCGAUGCCAUCGUUGUCCAUGACUUGUACUUUGUGCAAAAGAGGAAUUGCACUGGAUUACUUGCCCAUAGUACUUAUCAGAAGAUGACAGCGGCAAUGCGUAUACUUUGCUAUGGUGUGCCCGCUGAUUUGAUUGAUGAUCACUUGGCAAUGGGAGAAAGUAAAGCCAUCAAGUGUUUGAGGCGCUUUGUGAAGGCCAUAGUUGGGAUCUUUGGGGAGGAGUACUUGAGAGCACCCAAUGCACAAGACACCGAGCGUCUUUUAGCAAUGAACAAAGAUAGAGGUUUUCCAGGUAUGCUUGGUUCUGUUGAUUGUAUGCAUUGGAAGUGGAAGAAUUGUGCUAUAGCAUGGCAUGGAUAGUUCACAGGACAUAUGCAUGAUCCAACCAUUAUUCUUGAGGCAGUUGCAAACCAAGAGACUUGGUUUUGGCAUGCUUACUUUGGGAUGCCCGGUUCUUGCAAUGAUAUCAAUGUGUUGCAUAGAUCGCCUCUCUUCUCUAGAAUGGCAAGAGGAGAAGAUCACCCUGUUGAGUUUGAAGCAAAUGGCAGCAAGUACGUACAUCAUUCCCUACUACCUUGCUGAUGGCAUAUAUCCAGCUUGAUCGACAUUUGUGAAGCCAAUAUCAAAUCCCCAAGGUAACAAAAGGAUUCACUUCACAAAGGCUCAAGCUGCUGCUAGGAAGCAUGUGGAGCGGGCAUUUGGGAUCCUUCAAUCCCAAUUUGCCAUUGUGCGUGGACUAGCUAGGUAUUGGGAUCAGAAAACACUUUGGUACAUCAUGAAUGCUUGUGUGAUCAUGCACAAUAUGAUUGUGGAGGAUGAGCAUGGUGGGGUGUUCGACUAUGUCUAUGAGAAGAUGGGAUGGACGGUGUGAUAUGGACAUGCUAACCAUGGAUACGACCUUUGGUACCCUCAAUUCUAUAAUAUUUGACAAGAUUUAUAAUCAGGUGAAUUCAAGUAGUAAUUGUUUUCAUUUUCAUAUUUAUGAAGAGGCGGAGCUACUACUAUCUUGUCUCGUUUUAUUACGUAGGCAUCUUGUCGAGCUUUUCAAGUCCAAGGUCAAGAUGAGAUACGAUGGAGGCGAACGGGAGGGCCAACAAGAAUCAAGCAUCCAUACAGCUGAGAGGGAAGGAUUUCAAGUGUACUUUCCAACAAAUCAAACGGCAUAUGAUUUGGAGCUUGCUAGAGAAAGAUAUCACGAAUUAAAGUUGAAUCCGAUUCGGGUCCGAGUUGUCAGAAGACCCGAAUUUGUUUUAAUCACCGAGGCCGUAUACGGAGUCCAAAUCAAUCAAACAGGUACUUGUUGGAAAGGUAAUUACAAGACCUUUCCAACGGAUCUGGCCCCAUCAAGAGAUUCGACUCGUGAUGACCGUGCCGGACAAAACAAGCGAACGGAUCUGUUUUUUUGUUUCCUAAAGAGUUGUAGUUUGUUAGAAAAGUUAGAGAUAGAGUUGGAUUUCGGCCUCCUUACUUAAGGUGGACGAAAAUAUCUCUUCCUCCUCCUUUUUAUACCCCAUGAGACCCCCUAAGGAGCCUUGGGUUUUGUUUAGUUAAAAGUUAGCCAUCGCUACUACUUCGUGUAAUCGCGUGUGUCGGUUAGACCACCUGUUUUAUCGCUUUCGGAACCCCGACUUAUCGUCUCGUUGAGACAUUGGUUUGAUAUAGUAUAUUCUCAAUUUUAGAUUGCAUCCGCUAUUUAUCUUGUUCUUGCUUGUUCUUCGAUUGCUUGUAGGAACAAAGACCUUCGUGGUCAGGUUGAUCGUGCCCCCGUGUGAUCAAUAACCCUCUGGAGUUGGUGUAUCGAUUGCUAAGGCGCUGCCUCCUAGGCCGUAGUCGAAUCGUCAACGUCACCUCCUACCCAAAUCGAGAGUUACCAAUCUCAUCGAAAGAUCGGGCCACCCUGACCCACAUCACGGUGAGGCCACGGAGAAAUGAAGAUCGCAUCCAGAGGUUCCUCCAAGUUUAUCGAGAGAUCGAAGAUAGGGUGACACAUGAGAAGCUUUGUGAUGACCUUGUUGAGGAGAUGUGGAAUUGGCAUGGGCGACAUCGUCAUGAUUGAUUUUCAUGUAUAUUUUCUAUGAAGUGCUUUGAACUAUGUUUAAAUUUUAACUUGAACUAUGUUUGAAUUUGUAUUCGAUGGAUUUGGUAUGUUUGGUUUUUCAUAUGUUGAAAUGUCUAGUUUAUUUGAGGUGAAUAUGUGCAAUAGGAUGAGAGUUUGAAAAUUUAGGGGGCUAUUUUUUCUCAUGCUGCUAGAGAGGAAAAGUGUUGAGGAGAAAAAACUGGGUUUUCUCACUCCCAAAAACCUGUUUUUCUCCUCCAGUUUUUCUACAGGUGGAGAUGCUCUUAGUGCAAGGUACAAGGAGAAUACAUGGUUUCGAGGAUAGAAAAAAAGAGGAGCUCUUUCGCUGCACCUCGAAAUAAAUAUGAGUCCCAUUUGCGUACUCUUGAGGGAUGAUAUUGAAUGGUACUCAAGUCUGAGAGUAUACCACUCACGAAAACUGAAGAGUACAAUUAUAAGGGCAAAAUGGUAACCCAAAGUUCUUUUAAAAAUGAUCUAAAUAAGGAUCGGUGAAAUCACGAGAGUAAAGCUCAAAGCUACUUCCCGUGAAAAGCUCAGAGCUACAUGAUUAAAGCCGACAUCACACAGACUGGUUCAGAGGAUAAUCUCAAUGUCAUUGCCGGGGAUCAAUCUACUAAUUCUUAGAGAUAUAAUAUGGUUGGGAUUAGAGAUAAGAUAGUAUUAGGGUCAGAUAAAUAUACCAACAUAGAUUAGGGUUCCAAUCUCAUCUUUCCGUAUAGUAUCAGAACGGUUAGACUAACGUCGCCAAUCUUGGCCACACCUUCCGCAACAUGCUGCCUCUAGGGAGAUUGAUCUCCGUACUCUCCCCGGAGUAUUUGUCCUCCGAUCAACAAUUAGUUUAGAUCAAUUCCAAAGUUUAGACAAUCUUAGAUUUUUCCAGUUACCAAUCUACCAGAUUGAUAUUCCUUAGCCAUGCAUAAAUCCGAGUACCCGACGAUCCUCAAUCUUCCUGUGAGAAAUCGAGCACUGACCGCGGUCAUUGCAGCUACGUCAACGGAAAUCGAGCACUGAUCGGUCAUUGCAGCUACGUCAACGGCAACGCGGAGAUCACGACUUGGCCGACCAUGGCCAGAUCGAUCCGUGCGGCACGGCGGCAACUGCUGCACACCGUCGUCGUUCCGCAUCGACACGAUCGAUCGGCUCCAUGGGAUCGGCCGGGCGAGACCUACCACGACAUCAAGCUCCGCACGGGAUCCUGCUCCAGAUAUGCAGUCCAGGAGAUCCGGCCAUGUGAGGUGCAUGUAAUGCAUGCACAUACACCCGUACGUAGCAAGAUGAUCCAUCAGGCACGUGCAGGUCUUCAUCACGUCCAGAAGUGGAAGCAAUUCCAUCGAGCACCGAGGACCAAACAAGCAGCCGCAACACAACCUGGGUGUUCAUCUACUCCGAACCGACGCACUGAUCUGCACCGAUCUGUACCCAACGACGUCGCGCCUUCGGCUGUAUGACUACAUCAAGCCCAGUUAACUCAACGUCGAGCAUAUACACGAGAAGCAACAUCAACACGCAUCCAUCCACACGCCGGGCCGGUGUGGAGCCAGAUGUAAUCUUCAUCAACUUCUCAUACACGGCACGGCACGGCAUCGACACAGCGUCAUCAAAAAGGACGCCUUUGAGAGACAGAUCAUCAUCGACAUGCCUGCUACGCCAACGCUGACACUACAUCACCAAAGGUCUUCAUCAACAUGGUCUCCAUCAAGAAUCAUCGUCAACAUCACCACGUCAUCCACACGGAUGGACAUCUCCCACGUUCUCUGAUAGUUCAACAGCAAGAUGCAUUAGCAACGACGGCAUUCCCACGUCAGCUUCACCGACGACGGCAUUCCCGCGUCUCCGAUGGCUUCGACUGCAUCGACACCAACAUCACUAUUUGAUGACCCCCCACCCCCCCUUUAGUUUUGGCAAAGCUGGAGGUUGCACGGCACGCACGGUCUUGGCAAAACCGAUGCGUGCUCGAUGGGUUCCCUCCGGUUUUGACAAAAGCGAUGGUUUCAUCUUCUUUGACGCGUCCUCUGACAUCCGCAUGACGCCUCCGACGACACCCUCUGACAUCUGCAAGGUGCUUCGUCUUCGAUUGUAGCUACGUCUCUGUAUCAUAGUGCAUUUUUUGUGUGCCUUUGGCUAUGUGCAGCUUCAUCCACUACGACGACUACGACAUCGUCCACGGCUACAUAAUGAUCGGCUUCCUCGCCAUCGGCUACCAGGGAUACGUCUACAACUACUCAUCAGCAACAACUUCAGUCAAAGCGUCCGCGUCGUCACUAGCGUUCACGACACUCCCGCUAUGUCUGCGGGAGGGAAUAGAGGAGAGACAAGGGAUGGCACCAGAAGGGGACGAUAGGCACCACCCUAGGUGACGGAUCAGUCCAUCAGAAACGCAGUUGAUGAUGGCGAAGCGAAGAAGAUGAUAGAAGCAAGACUUCAAAUCCAGUCGCAAUUGUCCGUUUCGCUCCCGUUACGAUUGAGGAGGAAUGUUAGAGAUAUAAUAUGGUUGGGAUUAGAGAUAAGAUAGAAUAAGUUUAAACAAAAAAGAUGGGGAGGCCGCAGUUGUAGGAUGGAGAGGAAGGUGCGGUUGCCGUGAUCUGGAGGGCUGGAUGUUCGGGUGAGAUGAGGAGCAGAGGCCCUCAUUGCGGCGGGGCGCCCAUGGAGAUUGCGGAGAAGGCGGUGUCCGGUUGAUCAAGAUGUGCGGCGGGCGCUGCGGAUGAGAGCGCUGCUACCAGCGGCGGCGACAUGCGCUUGAUUGGGAUGAGGAUUUUUCAGUUAAUCAACAUUGCCUUAGUUUAAAAGAAAGUUUUGAAAAGAAAAGCUAAAUCAUAAGGACAUGUACAAUGGUUGAUAAGACCGCUUUCUCUUAUGUGUUCCACCUCUUUUAGAUAAGACAACAAAACAUUUUGUACUAUAGGUCGUCUCUUAGUGCAAUAUCUUACAAUUAAUGGCUAAAUGAAUAAAAUGAAUCAAAUAAAUGUUAAGAUAAGUUGAAUUCUAGGGCAAUGUGGAAUUUUCCUUUUCUUUGCUUUAUUCUUCUUAUGAAGAGAUCAUCUUUUAGCUAAAAGAAGACUCAUGCGUUUCUUCACCUCGCUCUCUCUUCCACAUUAGCAAUUAUCUUACGUGACAGCGUUAAAAAAAGGCUGACGUCACCCUACACACCCUAAGGAGCCAACCUUUUUUAUCUUUCUCCCUUGCACGACUGUUUUUUCUCCGUUGGAUGGUUUUAGCUCCUCGUAGCUGUCUAAUUCUCUACAGCACGGCCUUGGAUUGGGCUUGAUUUGCGGCCCUUUUGUUUGAUAUUUCUCUAACUACUGCAACACAUCAUUACUCCAGUGGCCCAAGUAGGAGUCCCAUUGAAGAGGUUUUUUUUUGUCUUAACCCUUAAAAUCUGAGUAGGGGCCUGCUGACGAAUGAUGAUUCAGCACGAUUGGCAUUACCAUCUGGUGGCUGGCACACCAACCCACCCAAGGGCAAGAGGCAAAGAGCAAGGGAAGAAUGUACAAAUUUUUCCCUUGAUUUCCUCAAUCUAAUCUAGACAUCCAAUGGCCAAUCAGAGAGACCUCGAGAUGUUUUUGGUGAGGAAUGUGGUAGCAGCUGCUGAAUUUUCUCAUUGCUGUAGGACCAGGAGAUGCUUCUCAGCCGCUUGGACAGCAGGAAGAGAUGUAAUUGACAUGCAGGUCCCAACUGACUUGGAUGCUAUUGUGGCAUGGUCAACACGACCCGUCAGCAGUCAUAGGCAGCAGAUCUCAAUUUGGACUAAAGUGGACUCCUUUAAUAAGUUUAGGUGCCAUUUGAGAGUAGAAAGAAUGAAAUGAAGCCAAUCACCGAAAUUGAGGAGCGAGCAGUAUACGUCCAAUACACCCUUGAUUUUGAAGGGUAUUUUAGACUUUUCUAUCAUUAUCUUUUUUGGGUAGUUAUUUUUUUGUUUGCAACUGUUUAAGAGGAACCAUACAGAUGGGCCAAUUCCGGCCCAUUCCCUAAGACGCCCUGGCGGACGCUGCGCUGGUCAACCUCCUCGGACCUAUCCGCUAAGAAAAAACCUCCUCUGAUCUCCGUGCUUGUUUUUUUAGAAAUAUAAUACAAAGGCAGACGCUCACACGCACAUCCUAACCGUAUGAGCAUCCCUGAGAGACUGAGCCGGCAGAUCUUGAGAGAUUGACGAAGUCACAGCAGGCGCGGGUACGUCACCUACCACUGAAAGAAUAUCGUCGGUUAAAUCCUGUAAUAAAUUCAGGAAAUGUGAACACCUAUGUCAAGUCUAUGUGUUACGUCUGGGAACGCAAACAUUGGGAGGGCAAGCACCCCCUUUUUUGUUUAGGUAGGGUGGCGCCGCUCCGAACUUCACCAGUGAGGACUUCGACUCCUAUCAUUUUACCUAGGUUCGGACCAUCCGGAGGUGUAAUACCCUACGUCCUGCUUUGUGUGUAUUGAUGGGGGUGGAUGGAACAAGGAAAGAGUAGAAAGAGCGGCCGGAGCGGCAAGUUCAGGCCUAACUAAGGCGGCUCGGGGAGGAGGGAGAAGCAGACGCUGCUCUUCUCCGACGGUCGGACAGCAACCCUUUUCCUACCUCGAGCUCCUUAUGGCUGGUCUAACCCUGAUGCCAAUCCUUUUUGGGUGGAAGCCUCGGGCCUCCUUUUAUAAUUCAAGGGGACACCACAGUGGUGAACUAGGGCACAUGGCAUGCGUGCUACUACAGGGGAACAUCCCCGCUACAAGACGAAUAUGAAGUUGUCCGCCUGCUCUGUAGUUUCUAUCCAAAGUGAUCAGUACCCGGUCCAGGGCGCAGAGAAGCUUUCGGCCUUGUCUGGGCCGAAACGGCGAUAGUCCUCGCGCGGCAUGGAAGCUGGCAGGUCAAAAGGAAAAGGUGAACCUGCCGCCCCCAGCAUGCAGUCCUCGCCGGCGAUCGUCAUAUCACAGUCGCGCAGUCCCGAGGACGCCUCUGAACGGGCAGAUUCGUACCAGCCCAGGCUCGAGGGCGCCAAAGUGGAUGCCCAGGACCGGUUGAGGUAAGCAGUGACGUAUUGUCUCCCCAGGCACCAGACCAGGCGCCCCCGCGGAGCCUUGGGGCUCCGGGUCCGGGAAGGAGAAAACAGACACAAGGCUCCCGGAAAGACGGUCCCGAGGUGCCUUACACAGAUAUGGUGGGGCCGCGACCAGUGCUCCUAGGAUCCGGGAUACCCCGUAUCCCCGAAGCCGACACUAUGACUUGAACCUGAGUGGGCUGAUUCCACCGAAAAUAACCAGACCACCUGAGUUAGGUUCAGUACAUAACUUCGGUUCGCCGCUCGCCACUCGUGGCUCCUAUCGUUCUCUAUGCACUUGCCGGCCAAACCUUCGCGGCCUCGAGGUUGUCUUGUACAGUUUAAUGGAGGCAUAUUCGACGCUUAUAUGAGGAUUCAUUUGCCAUUUAAUUAGGAGGGUGAGAACUGAAGUUGCGUGAUCAGCUCAACCACCUCCGGCCGCCAUGGCACAUGCCAUGCUCAUCCUAUAUUGCGCCGCGCGUAGGUCCCCUGAGCCCUGUCACUCCACCGACUCGUUUGCCACCACCGUUACUCCUUCCCAUUUCAGUUUUCGUAUUGAGAAGAUAGCAGCCGAAUUUAUGGCAACAACAGGGGAAUGGAGCGGAUCAUGCGGACGGAUGGGCACGCAUGUAGGAUUUUGUGUUUUCCUAAUUUGCCAUCAAAUUCCAUAUACUGUUCUGUAUAUACUGUCCACCCAAAACAACAGUAUAGAUCAAUCUUCAACAUUAGAUCUUGAUAAACGGAUGACUAAUAUUAAUCACAGGGUACCAUAGAAGAGCUCACAACACCAUGUUUGGAUGUACGUGUUGAGAUGUACAAUUCAGAACUGGUAUUCACUAUCCUCAAUUCCGUUGUUUUGACGCUGAUUUACUGCAUAAUUGAUCGGUGGAUAUAUGCCCAUAGAUAUACUCCGUCCGUCCAAAAUAAGUGACUUGAAAUUAUAUAGAUUUUUAUACAAAUCCACGUCACUUAUUGUUUAGAACAAGGAUUUGAGAAGCAAUAACACUCCCUCCGAUCCGAGUAUUGUUCUCAACGACAGCAAAAGAGAGAAGUAAUGGGAGUUGAAAGAGAGUCAGGAUUUGGAAGUACAACCAACAAUAGAGCACGUCUUGUUUCUUCUAUUUAAGAGAGAGCGACCAAGACAGGAGACAGCAGAGACCAAAGAACCAGAAAAUGUUCGACCAUUUUGAAAUGGUUGCCUCACUGUUGCUUCAUCUCGUUGUAGAUACUAACUAGGCUUUGGAGGCAUUUGGAAUUUAGCUACUUUCUUCGUCUAACAAAAAAGUCUGACGUUUGUUAAAAUUUUAGUUAAAGUUAAGACAUCUUUUGUUGGACGAGGAGUAUGACACCAUGUACGCAUGUUACCCGUACGAGAAGAAACAACAGGAAGAGGAUGCAUGUGCACACUUGCCGCCCGGAUCCAGAUUAUCGAACUCAGCGAAGCAAAGUUGACAUGCCAUAGUAUUACGACUUUGUCGUACACCAGUCAGAAUCAAAGAGCUCGGACAAGAUUAGAAAUGUACUGCAGUGAUGUUACGUGCAGACAUGCAGCUUGCUCUGGCUUACGGACUCGCAAAAGCGUAGUGACUCGUAAAAGACACUGCUUAUUACUUCCUCCGUUCAUAAUUUUUAUCUUAAUAUUGUCUAAAAAUAGAUGUAUCUAUUCCUAAAAAAUAUAGAUACAUGUAAUAUCUUGAUAAAAAUUAUAAAACGGAGGAAGUAUUUUUCAUUGGCUUCCGCCAUCGGCAGUAGAAUUACGCUGGUUAAUUUGGGGAUGACGAGAUGUACAGUGGUGCUAUUUUAGCCAACAGAACGGAUGAGUUGCAUGUUUCGUGGUUACAAUCUUCACCCCCUCUCCAAUAGCCUCCUCUUACAUUUGGAAUGCCAAACUGUAUACACCAAUUCCAUUGCGUGCCUUCAUCUUCUCGGCAAAAUAAGAACGUUCUCCAAAUCUGCUCGAUGCAUGCUUACCCAGACCCACACGGCCACACGGCCCACACUUGGUUCUGGGAGACAAAGCCAUUGGAGCAACGUUAAAUUGCCCAAAGUACAGCAGAAUUUGGAACAUUGCGGCAAGCAGUCUUUGUAAAGCUAGUCAGCCCAAACCGCAGGUUGAUGUCAAAAACGAUAUAUCAGUCCACAGACAUUCAGCCUGUAUAUGUUCAAAAAGAGUGAAUGGUGAACGGAUUCCUUUUCAAAAAAGAAAACAAAACUCGGAAGUACGGAGUAUAAGCCAGUCAGCUCCUAGCAAGAAUGGAUUAAUCGGAACCGAAGACACGUCUGAACUCCACCUUAAUAAGAUUGUUAUUCUAUAUUUCAAUCCCUUCGCUCUCAUCUUGUGAUCUAACUAACACGUCACUUACCACAAUGCAUUGUUUCCUAUGGAUCUCAUCUCUGUCCUUCAUAGUAACGAAUGUUAAAAAGAAAAACAUUUUAGUGUAGAUUAGAGAAGAUGGGAUAUGAUCUUCAAUCAAACAGCAAAAUAUAUAAAGAGGAAACAACAGUCAAAAUAAAACUGAGUAUAUUGGCAGUUUGGCCAAGUCAUUGUGCUUAAGCCACUAAUGGCUUUUAAGGAUGAUUCAUAGUUCGGUCAGGGCACAUCCGACCACGGUCUUGUGCUCCAAUGGAUUUCACAACAAGCGGCUUUGAUGGCCUAACAGGAGGUACAUUCCAAGCAAUCCGAUACAAGUCUCAGUACAUACUGGUAUCAAAGACUGCCUACCAUAGAAAGUUUCUACUUCAUUGACAUGAAAAGUGAUGCUUCUGCGCAUUAGUCAUUUCAGGGUAACUGACACAAGAAAUAUGGAUUUCAACAACGGUGGCUAUUUCAAGUUCCAACCAGCUGCUGAGUAACUCAGUAACAAAAUAAAUGCAGAUGUCUCUGUUUAAGUUCCAACCAAACAAAGGUAGUACAGACACAGAAAUUUCAUUAAGCCGAAGACCGAAGCAAGCAAUAAGUGGUUCAGAAUAAGAACGGCCAGCAUGUAUGGAUUUAGUUCUUAUGAUAUAAUAUGUAGAAACUGUCACCAUAAAGAGUUAAGAAAAGGAGGAAACAUGGAAUACAAAAGCAUUGAGUUACUUUGGAUAUGUUUUUGACUUUUUGUCGAUAAGCGAAUCCCUAUAUAUGAACUUGAAUACGGAGCCAUAAGGUCAUAAGGAGUUGCUUCUUUAUGGGAUUCGAGCAGGAAAAGAAACACCAUGGUUGUGAAGGAACUUCCAUAAGUUGAUAAUAUAAAGGCACAAAGCUACUAGUAAUAUUACUCCCUCCGUCCAACAAAAGAUGUCUCAAGUUUGUUAAAAUCUGGAUGUAUCUACAUGUGACUUAGUGUAUAGAUGCAUUCAAAUUUAGUUCAAGUUGAGACAUCCUUUGUUGGACGGAGGGAGUAUUAUUUUUACAAGUGAGAUAAACCUAACAUCAGUAUGUCUAACAAAACAAGAAAUAUAAAAAUGGUUAUGAAUGAUACGGAGGAAUGGAGGACUGAACCUUGUAUUCCCAAGGAUCCAUAGUCAGGUACGGUGUAGUGCAGAAAAUCAACAAGCCUUACGACACUACAGAGCCUGAAAAGAUCCACGGCACCUUCGGAAAGUCCUCAUCCAACCCAACAAUUAUACCUUGAUCACAUGAGCCAUAAAUACGAUUGAUGUAGAGACUAGAAUAAGUGAAUUUCAGAUAAAUAUGUUAACGUACCACCUGCAAUCAGAGCCUUUAUCUGCAACAGAAGUGGGGACCAAUGUCAACUUGCAGUCUGCUAAAUCAAGGCGGCAUAAAUAUAUUUCAGGAAUAGUAAUUGCAUCACAUAAAAGGAGUAACUCAUUGUUCGAUGAUUACAUACGGAUAGCGGUACAAUGUACAAAAUAAGAAUCAAAUUCAGGGCUUGCUAACCUCAUAGGACUUACUUUAUCCAAGUAUUCCUAUAUAACACAGAUAUGUCAUUUCAAACAGGAUCUCGUGAAUAUGAUUAAACAUAUCAUGCUUAGCUAUCUCAUGCCACAUCAAGAAAAUAAAAUCAGGUUCUAUCGUAGUAAACAUGUGACUGUCACCUAUACAUUAUUGAAACUUCAUAAGCUAACUUUGUACUUUCAGGGUAGUAUAUUCUCGAUACCAUUUAUAUAUUUGGAGGAGAAUGCAGAAUAUUGCAUAGAGAUAUUACAAUACAAAUUUAUAAACCUUGUAGGUUAAGAGCUAAUGUUAGUGGCACUUGGAAAAAUAGCAGGUUAACAUAAGCAACUUCCAGAGUAGCUUCAGAGUCUUUAAUCACUUACUGAUUCUGGACGCUAUUAAGGAGUUCUCCAUGACAAUUCGAAGCAAACAAGCAUGCUUAACCUCACCAGAAAAAAUUCCAGGCAACCAUCAAAGUCAAAGGUAAAGCCUAGUUCGGACCGAUCGAUACAUCAGUUAAGGAAAGGAAUUGGAGUAGUUUUGUCUCUUUCUACCAGGAUCACCUGUCAUCAGUGUGUGGGAUUGACAAAGAUGAGGAGUGAAAGAGAGAAGGGCAGCGACGACCACAGGCAUGAAGGCAAGAUGAGCGGGAGCUUAUGGAGAGAAGGGUUCACAUGAAGAAGAAAAAAAGAGGAGGUGAAUGAAAAGAAGAAGCUCGGUUGCAUGACAAGAAGCAAAGGAGAGGCGUCAUGGAGCUGCUUUAUCUUCCAUCUGAAGCAACACGUGCUUUAUCUUACUUCCCUCUUCUUGACCUUCCAUUAAAACCAAUUAUAGCAAUCCAGCUAUUUGCACAAGUGAUUUAAUGGCUGUGGCAAUAGAGGUGCUGAGGGCUUCCCAGCGUGCUCUACUGCAAGCUUCAACUGGCCAACUUAAAAUAUUGAGCAAAGUUUAAGAGAAUAACGGCUCAUUUAACACCACAAGUAACAAGAAGGCAGUAUGAACAUUAGAUAUAGAAUCCAUUUCGGAAAAUGCUAAAUUUUAUUAUCACAAAAAUUCUUAUUUACACAGCAAUUUAUUUGGACCAGAGGUCUUUGAAAGAAGGAAGCGAGUGUCAACAGAGUUAUGACUUAUCACAGAAGCAAGGAGAGAUCCCUCUUCGAUUCAAAUAAAACACAACUGUGUGCUUUUACUUCAUAAGAUGAAUAUCCUGGCACUUGUUGCACUUUAGGAUUAGACUCAGUUGCAAAGAAACCCGGAAGCGCAAGUGAUGUAUCAACCAAGCAUAGCCACAUGGAUCCUUCUGCAGGAGCAGGUAAUGUCGCACUUAUUGAUUCCUCAUUUGCAUUGAAACAGAUGUACAAGUCACCUUUGGUUGAAUCUGGCAUAUUUCCAUCAUUCUCUGCGAUUACAUGCAUGCAAAGAAAUUUGCUAGUAGGAUCCUCCCAUCUUGGCUCAGAUAGAUCUUUCCCGUGCCAAUAAAUAUUUUCCAGUUUGAGGAAUUCUCUUCUCUGAAAUAUGUCACCUCGCCGACUCCUGAGAGCAGCUAGAAAUGAAAUGAAUGCAGUAACUUCCUUAACAAAAGUGGUCUUCAAGCCCUUCCAGUUUAGAGGAACUCUAUCCAUGUAUAAUGUGGAACCACCAGAGGAGUGUCCGCACUCAUCUCCCAUGUUCAGAACAGGAAUACCAAGUGAAACAAAUAGAAUAAAUAUGAAAUUCCUUAUCUGCCUCAGCCUCGUCUGAAGGACUGCACUGUUCUCAGACGGUCCUUCUUCACCACAAUUCCAACUCGACUCAGAAGCAAGAUCAUCAUUGCUGAAGCUCACCAAAUCAACAAGAGUAAGUCCUGAAUUCCUGGACACGGAAUUGAAAGAAAAGGCUGGGCCCCUACUGGAAAAUAGGUCCCCGCUACCACACAGACGAGUAGCAAGAUCGCUAAUAAGCGCUUCUCCCUUUAAAAAUUUACGCACAUCAAUAGAAAACCUUGUGUUCAUCUCAGCCCACCUUUUCCAGUGAGGGAAUGGAAAUUGCACAUUAGAUAUGCCGAGUGGUGACCAAGGAUCUGCAAUGAUUUUUGUCUUGGAAAGAACUGGGUCAAAAGCUAUAGAUUCAAGAAGAGGUGGUCGAGAUAAAUAUUCACCACAUGGGCCCCUGAGAAGGAAAGGAGCAUUAAUGAAACAAAACCCAUCGACAUGGAAAUCAAGCACCCAAUGGCGGAGGCUGUCCAAAAUCAGUUUCUGAGUCACUGGGGAAUUGCAAUUCAAUAUACCCACAUUGCAUCCAACAAUCUCAUCAGCAAUGUAAUAAGAGAAACUGUCAAUACCACGGAUUGAUAUCAUCUGACAAUCUGCUUCUCCUUCAGCAGUAUGCGUAAAAACAACCUCCAAGAGGACCUCUAUUCCAUUUUUGUGCAUCGCCUUGACCAUAUCCUUCAUAGACGUGAUAGCUGAAGCACUGCAACCUUCACUGCUAUACGAAUUCAUUGGUGAAAAGAAAUGGUAAGGGAAGUAAGGGCCCUUCUCCUUGUGGAAAGGGAACACUGGUUCUAGCAAAACUGCAUUGACACCAAGACUCCUAAAGUGGUCUAUCUUUGCAGCCAUCCCGGAGAAAGUACCGGCAACAUUGUCCGGCAGCUCAGCCGACUUGUCCUUGGUGAACAAAGCUACAUUCGCCCGGUACACCACCAGCUUCUCGAACGGCAAGCAGGGAUGUUUGUCCCUGCCCCAAUUGUAGCUCGGUGCAUUCGCCAAUGAUCCGAGGAAACUCAUGGACUGCACGGGGACCCCCUCCACAUAAACAGAAUUAGCAGAGAGGAAAUCACCGAGCACCUUGGCAUACGGGUCCAACAGUGGGUGGCCCGUGCCGAGCAGCCCGCAGCGGAAGCCGUAGCUGAUGUAUCCCUGCACGCAAUCCAACAACACGUGCCAGACGUUGCCCGUCCGGUUGACGUAGGGAUCGAGCUCGAUCUCCAGCGCGGGCUCGUCGCUGCCCUUGCCGUCAUACAGGCAGAGCACGACGCCCUUAGCGGUCUUGCUGUACAAGGCGAAGUUGGCGGCCCCGUCGUCCGACAGGGACAUACCGAGCGGCGCGGGGCUGCCGCGCCUGACACCGACCGGCACGCGGAAGGUGGUCUUGCGGUGGGUCCAUAUCUCCGCCCCCUCGCCGUCCGUCAGCAGGAAGGAGAGGUUGAACGGCGCGCGGGACGCGUCGAAGGAGAGCUCGGCCGCGAGGCACGCGCCGUCGCCGCCGGACGACACGGCUGGCGCCAGCGCGAAGCCCUCGCCGGAGUCCGCGGGGCGGAGCACAAGCCGGCCGCCCUCCCGCCCUCGGGCGCUGCCCGGGAGGAGCGGGACCUGUACGCUGACCGUGUACCCGCCGCCCUCGCCCUCCUUCCUGGCGACGGCCACGUCCACGACGCCGUCGUCGUCGGUCCGGAAGCGGUAGCACGAGGAGCGCGCGGCACGGGAGAUCAGGCCGUGGCGUGGGGCCGACUGUCGGGGCGGCGCUGGUGGCCGGACGCCGCGCCAGGAGGCGGGCGGCGCGAGGAGGUAGGCCAUGGGAUGGGGGCCGCGAGCAGUCGUUGGGGAAUUGGGUCGAGCAGUGGGUGGGCAUGGGGGUUUGUGCUGGUUAACUUGAAGGAGCGAAGGGGAGCGGCACGAGGGGGUUGUGGAGUGGAGUGGAGGGAAGAGAGACCGAUGGGCGGGCGCCCACGUGGAAGUGAGACCGAGUGCAGUUGCCAGUUGGGUUGGCGCCGGCGCACGGGAUGCAACGACGGAUGGACGGCUCGCGGCAGAAGACGCUGUCCAAAUAGACUUGUCUUUUUGCAACCUUGUGUCCAUGCCCAUGCGGUGCAGCCGGUGCAGAUGGCUUCGCGCACACUGCUGGUGAACAGUACAUUCCAUGUGAGCAAGACGCCCGGAGGUCCCCCCGCGUCCCGGGGUACGAACGGCGCACGAUGAGUUAGCGAGAGCAGUCAUUUUUGGUAGGGAUCUUCACGGUUAAAUGGAGUAGAAUGUACCUUUGUCCCACUUACUGCCUUCGCUUGGAUAUAUUAUAUUUAGUACUUACAUGUAUAUAAAAGUUACCCGUUCCGUUCCAUAAUUUCUUGCCUCAAAAUUGCAAAAUUGCCUAAAAAUGGAUAUAUGUACGUCUAGAUACAUGUAAUAUUUCGACAAGAAUUAUGAAACGGAAGUAGUAUAUCAUUAGAAAAAGUUUUUUCAAAAUGAAUCCAACAAUAUAUCUCUUGUGCCGCAAUAAUCUCAUACUACCAAUGUAAUUUUUGACCAAAAUUUAGCAUAAAAUUUCGCGUCGCUCUUAUAAACCUGAACUGAGGGAGUAGUUUGUUUAAAAACUUGCCAUCCUCCAUUCUUGCACUAGUGUUUGCAGUACAAUCAGCCGUAGUGUUUUCAUCUGUGCGACAAGCUUUCUAAUUGGCUCACGAAAAUGAUGUUGUCAUUUAUACCAUUGAGAAGUACUCCCUCCGUUUGGGUUCACAAGACCCACGGAAUUUUAUGCCAAAUUUUGAUCAAAAUUGCGUCGGUAAUAUGAGAUUAUUGCGUCGCAAAAGAUAUACGAGGUAAAUUCACUUGCGAUGCUACUAUUAUUGAGUUGGUGUCACUUUAUUCCUAAAUUUAUGAAAUUGCACACUUAGGUACUAAUUAUAUUUUAAGUGGCUCACGCGAGGUCCUAAGCUGGUUCAGGCCCGUUUUACCCAUCUACGUGUCUCCUUAACCCGGUACACGUCAUCAAGGGGCUCAGAGACCAUAACGAAUGGCAAUGUGAUUCAGCAAAAAAAAACUCACGGAAGGGCCAUCUCUCUUAUUUCUCCCCUCAUUUCUUUUCCAUGAGGGGUUUCUCCUUACAUUGCCAUUGGUUAUGAUAUGUGGGGGCCCUUGCUCAAGUGUAUGGGGUCAACGAGCCACAUAGGCGUGUCAAACGCGCCAGAACCAACUUAGGACUUCGCGUGAGCCACUUAAAAUAAAAUUAGGACCUAAGUGUGCAAUUUCAUAAUUUUUAGGACGAAGUGGCACCAAAUCAAUAAUAAUAAGACCGCGAGUGCAUUUAUCUCAAUGAUAUAUUGUUGGAUUCGUAUUGAAAAACUCUUUCUAAUGGUAUAACUUUUAUAUACAUGUACUAAAUAUAAUUGAAUAAUUGUUGGUCAAAGUCUACCACAAAUUUAAAUAGUAAACCCAAACAGAGGAAGUAUCUUUAAACAAUAAAUUUCAGCCAUCUUCUCUAUUUUUCUACACCAUCAUGUUCUCUCUUUCUUUCCCUGACGCAUCCACUGCCUUUGUGCUUCUCCUCCUGAUUCAAUCCCUACCUCACUUCGACACCAUCUGUUUUUCCACUGCCAGCCUCACCCCAAAGACAUCGCACCAUCCAUCGUCGCUACCAUCUCCCGUAGAUCUCCGUUCUUCCUAGAUCCCUCUCUCUUGUGUCUCUCCUUUUCUCCUAGCACCCUUUCUUUGUAGGUCAUAUCAAGAUUGAACGGUGUCCAAUUCCUCGCCUUCCUCUCGACGCCUUUGAUCCCUUCUCGUGGCGAUCCAAGCUCUAGAACCGGUAAGCAUUCUUAUCGAGGAGUGAUGACACACAUGGUAUGUGACGAAGUUCCACUUCGGCAAUGCCCAUGUUGAGGGGCUUUGUGUUUAGGGAGAGUGACAUGCGUAUGUGUUGGCGAUCCCGUCGGUUGACAAGCAAGGGCAGGCAAGAGUUUACCCCAAGUUCAGGGCCCUCGAAAGGUAAUACCCCUACAUCCUGCUUGUCUGAUCUAAUAUUAACGGAGAGAUUACAAGGUUGCCAUGGAGGCUAUGGUGCUCAGAUUACAUCUGGCGUGAGGUGUAUGAGAUGGAGUCUCUAUGAGAGAUUGGAUCUAUCUUGAGGGAGAGAGAAUCUGUCCUCCAGAGUGCCCCUCCUAGUCCUUUAUAUAGGAGGCUAGGUCUCGGGUGCAGAAACCUGGUAGGUUACAAUUUGUAUUUAAACCCUAAGUCGGUUUCCUUAUCUUAAGUCACAAGAUUAGGCAUCCGGACCCCUGGAGUUGUAGUAGGCUUCUACAUGGGCCCCCAGCUGGGCCAUAGUGGGUAUACCAAAGAUGAUGACCCGAUUGGUUAUAACCACAUCGGUAGCCCUUGAGACUCAAAGUCGCGGGUCACAUAUCGUGUAGUCGUAGUUGACGUGACGGUGAGGAGACGGAGAAAACUUAGGGUUUUGAGGUAGAGCACCGUCCGGAUUCACUGGUUCCCCUCACCUCAUGACGCCAUCUUGGCGCUGCGAGGUGGGGGGAAUCUCGGGUACUCUUGGGCGUUUUCAGAAGUUUUUACUAUUACAAGUCUUGUGAUCUUCAUCGGCAACGCUACGGCGGAGAGUGCAAUGCCGUCGAGAAUAAAGGUACUCUGGUUCUUCCUCUGUUGCGGCGGUGCCUUAUUGCGCCACGGGGCCAGAGAGUUUUAAUCACCAGGAAUUCCAUGUGUCCGAUCACGCGGAUUUUCAGUUUAUGUCCUCACAGAUCUGUUCAUACGGAUUUGAUGAGUUUUUGUCAGUGUGUCAUGAUGCUUUUGUUGGUCUGAUCUUUUGUGACUUUGGGGUCUUUCUCUAGCGUUUUCGUGAAGAUCAUGUGGUUCGAUGACCUAUGGGGGAUCAUCCCCAGCCCAAGUACGUUCAAUGCUCACGGCUUCUCAUCUUUUUAGAUGGGCGACUCAGGGGGCUUUCUGAAACAUUUGAAGGUAAUCAAGUUCGUGCAGGGUUACGAGUGGCGAUGUUGCCACUCCAGUCUAAUUGCAGUUCUUUUCCUGAAGUCUGGAGAAUAUCGUGUUGCAAAGAUUGAUGCCACGGAGAAUAUGUUUUCGAGAAAUUUCAUUGUAAUUCUUAGUCAUAGGGGUUACUUUGUAGUUUCUUGUGUCUAUGAUCCGAAGCACUAUACCUAUAAUGGUUUUCGAGUUUGAAUAAAGUUACAGGAGAUUCUCAAAAAAAAAAAGUUUACGUGACGGCGGAGUUGAGUCGGACGCUUGAAAGGACGGAGCCGACGCAGUGCAGUUGGAGUUGACGUGGUAGCGAAGUCGUGUCAGAAGCUUGGAUGGCGAAACCGACAGACCCGAAGGGUGGUGGAGCCGACAGACCCGAAGGGUGAUGCAUCCGAAGUAUAGGGUGCGUGGCCAGCGCGGCCCGUGAGAGUAGCCCCCGAGGCUAUGUUCGACUGCUGGUAGUCGAGCAUAGGCUCAAAUCUUCGUGGCCUUCUUGCUUGGAUUGAUUUGAGCUGCAGUCAUUGGAAACAAUCAUACAGUGUUGAGACUUCAUAAAAUAUUGCAUUAGCUUAUUUAUUUAUUAUUUUAGCAAUGGUUUUGUUAUUUGACCGAACUCGACAUGCUAUCUAGUAUGCAGGCCCUUUCGUUAGCCUGACGCCCGUCAUCUCUAUCCCAUGCCAACCUGUCAGUUGGGAUACAACUGGGUUGGAGUUCAUGGGUUUCGACUUCGUAGGCUGAAUCAGCUAAUCAGGACAGCAUGUUUGUUAGGACGUGGAGUCAAACGUGUUUCGACUACGAGAACUCGAAAGUGUAUCAAGUCGUCGUAACCGAAGAAGGUCAACUAUUCGUAGUCGACGGAGUUUAAACUGUUUGACCAGAAGGUGAAAUGUGUCAUGUUCGUAGCGCCAAGUGCGGCGAGGCAUGCCUCAGCGUCCUGGAUCGCACGGACCAAGGUCUCUUGGCGCGCCUGGGUGCUCUCGAAGUCUGCCUUCGCCCCAAAAACCGCAGCCGCGAACUGCUUCUAAUUCAGCUCGAUGGCGUCGAUGGCGCGGCGCAUGUUGGCGAAGCUUGUGGUGUCGACGACGAAAACCGUCGCGAGGUCGGCCUCGGGGAGCGGGGUGCCGCCCUCGCGUGGUGCCACCACGGUGGCAUGGUGGACGCCCCCAUGAAGAGGGCCCGCCAACACGCUUGCACCAGCGGCGGCGAGUUGUGCGGCUUGGGGCGUGGGCUCCUGCGUGCCCACGCGCGGUGUUGGCAAAGGCUCCAUUGCUGCGACCUGUGGGGUUGAGGGCUCAGUCGUGGAGACCGGCGGGGUGUGGGGGAACACCCCCGCGGGUGUUGCCUCUGCCGGAGGCGCUUCCUCACGCGCAUGCUUUGCGCUGCGCCGAGGGGAAGCGUUGCUAGAAGAAAGAGAGGCGUCGGCGCGAAAGAAAAAGGAAGGUAAGAAGCAGGCGGUGGAAAGGACACUAACCUGCCUGCCGGACGCUUGGAGCCCCACGAUCCCCGCGGGAUGGACAAGCGGAACACGGGAGCGCCACCCGUGGGGGAAGCUUCGACAGCCGCCUCCUGCUGUGGUCCUUCUGAGGCACCCGCGGGGCACGAGGGCGGAGUGGCCCUACCAGCACGGGCCAGGCGCUUGUCUGGCCUUGGGGUGAGUUCGACUCCGGCACCGGGGUUCGUCACCCACGACACCGGUCCUAGCUCGUUGCAGGCCGGGAGGGAACAAGAUGUCAUCAAGCCUAGGCAUGUCGGCAUGGAGAGCUUGCACGCCAACGGGGAGCGUGGCCAUGUUGGGGGAAGAAGGCGUGCUUGGGACGGAGCGCUUUCCACUCCUUCUCCCUUGCGCGCGGGUGCUAAUGUGCGGUGGCAGGGGAUUUACCCCCGGAUUUCGCGUUCCUUUUCCCUUUCGGGCUCAUCGCUCCGCCGGGAUGGAAGUGGAGAUGGAGGAAAGGAAGAGGCCAAAGGGGAGCAGAACAGGAAAGCGCGGGUGGAAACUGCGGGAGGAAGCCCUCCUCCCUGGUGGGUUAUUUAAAGACGACGGAGCAAGGCCCCAAGCGGCAAGGAGGCGUGGCUCACCAACGCAAUGGUAUCAGUUCCAAAGCAGGAGCAGGCCGGGCACGGGCCCCUCUGGUUGACGUGCCACACUGGGGGCUGAUGUCGGACCCCUAGUAACUGGGGUCCAAGUACCGCUUGGGGCCGGCCCGCUUCAACCCCGCCGGGGGCUUAAGAGCUGGCUCGCCGAGCGGCGGGCGAGCACAAAGAGUAAACACCACACAUGUCGCACCUGUCAGCCGCAUUGAAGCCUCUGCCUCGGUGGUUGGGGCGACAAAAGAGUAAAAUAAGAUGGGAAUCUGCACUGUGCAGCGACAAGACGGGGCCUGCACGGCCCGCGCCCGACGACUGGGUGGCUUGCCCGGUCGCGUCCGGACUGCUCGACCUGUCGGGUCGGUGCAGGAGGAGGAUAGACACGUGCAGGAAAAGGUCUGAAGACCACGCCAGGGCCGGUACCGCACACGCCACGUAUCCGCAGCACGCGGCUCGCAUGCAGCCCAACCUUGUGGUAUCCCCUUGUAGUAUAAAAGGAGGACCAGUGGCACUAGAAAAAGGGUCACGAACAGCAAGGACAGACACACGAGGAGAGCUCGACUCCAGCGAGAGUGAGAAUCCCCAGGAGCGGGUGUGUGCCCCCGGGACCAUGUAUCCCGUGUGUUGCUCCAGCAAUCCAGAUAAGCAGGACGUAGGGUAUUACGCUUCGGCGGCCCGAACCUGGGUAAAUCGCGUGUGUGUUCUUGAGAGUUGUUUGUUUGAUCCUACCGACACAGCUCCCUCACCCCUCAUGAAAAAAGGGGUUCUAAAGAUCUCCGGUGUCGGAGGUCCAGGCACCGACACACCGCAUGUCCUAUAACUAUUGGAGGUGUGUAAAGUGAGUCCUAGUUCUUCAAAAGUGCAUAUUUAGAUCAUAAUUCUUUUAAGUUGUUCACCGCAAUCCUAAAUGAGGCCGAGCCGUUGCUGACCGACGAGAUGGCAAGUUGACGACUGCCACGUCAGGCAAGGGUCAUUGGGUGGGAGUUUUCUCGUUGUUUCGGUGGUCUGGAAAUUUUCAGGAACCCACUUAUUAACAAUGGAGACUGCAGUUGGCAAUUCUAUCUCUUUCUCUCUCUCUCAUUUUUCUCUCUUUUCCUCCUGAAAGGGCAUUUCGAUCCCUAAUGAGUUUUGAUGUUAAUGACAACAUGACAUGUGGACUAACCGUGCGCUAAGCAUGUUCAGAAAUUAUAUAGAAUCAAGUGAUGCGGUUCGUUGCCCUCAAAAUGGAAAGAAGCGUAGAAAAAUUUACGGCUUUUUAUUUUAUUGAGUCGUAGGAAAGUCCGUACUAUAAAGAGGGAGUCCAUUUUGGAAAGGCUAGGGUAAAUCAACUUCACGUACACAACUAGCAGAUUGCACCCACUAAAUAGCCUCCAAAACCCAUCGGUGAAGAUUAGCGAAACCAAAUUUUGAGCCAAAGAGGUUCUGACUGUGUUCUUUCCAGGGCGGCAGUACCGCUCGGCCCAGGGUGCGCGGCAGUACCGGGGCCAGUAGUACCGCCCUCAUACCGCACCAGUGCUAGGAGGUAGCAAAAUGCUACUGACCUCGUGUGGCACUGAUACGGUACUAGUGCAGUACUACCGCGACGAUAGUACCGCCUGGUCUGGCAGUAGUACCGCCCAGUGCAGAAAAUGCACAUAACGGGCAGAAAUCAGGAACUGCUAUAAAAGGGGGUCUUCAUCCCAACGGCUCCCAUCCCGACUUACCAUUGUUCUUCACCAUUUCUAAGCUUCAAAUGUCGAGAUCUCUCUCCCUAGUUCAUCCUCGAAGCUAAUAUUUUGAGGAAGGGUUGAGAAGAAAUCGACUUAGGGUUUUACCAAAUCAAAAGUUGAUUCCCCUCGUUUCCCCCAGUGGAUUUUGUUACUCUUGGAAUAUUAGGAUUCCUAGCUAGCUGGAGCAAAAACACUAACGGGCUAAAAACACUAUCACUGGCGGGCAGGGCACCUGGGCAACGCCCGGUACUAACACUCAAACGACCGACACUGAUGCCAUUUUUGAGGAAAAAAAAUCUCCGACCCCAAAUCCUCCUGGGGCACCACCUCGACCGCGCCAUCGACUGCAAAUGUCCAUGACGGCGCCGGCCAUCCACCUUGUUCAGCGCCGAUGAGGAGACGGGCUCUCCUCUCCACGUACGGCCGCCCCUUCUCGAUCUGUAGAGAGAGAACUCAGAGGCAGAGAGAGAGAGAGAGAGAGACGAACCGGGGGCGGCGGCCGGGGCUUGGGUCGGGGGUGGCGGCCGGCGGCUAGGAUCGGGGGCAGGAGCACCAUGGCGACCGGAUCUGGCGAUGCUCGGACCCGCGGCGGCCCGAUCCGGCUGUGACCGGUCCCCCGGAGGAGGCUGUGCGGGGUCCGGCGGCGAGGACGAGCGGAGGAGCCCUCCCGCGGAGGAGGCCGUGUAGGGGCACGGUGGCGGUGGCAGGCUGGGUCGUGGCCGCCGGAUUCGGCCCCCCUGCUGCUGCUCCAUGCGCAGGAAAGAGAGAGGAAGGGAAAGGGCUAGCGUGGAGGAAGGGAGAGGCGCCUCCAUCUGUGCGGCGGCAGCCUCUGCUCGUCCUGCAGGCGGAGUGGAAAGAAGAGGACACGGGGAGAGUAAGGAGGCAGACGGAGAACCAGAGGAGAUGGGGGAGUGCGUGCGUGAGAGAUAGAGAUUAGAGAGAGAGGAAGGAGUGGAUGGGGAGUGCCACAUCAGCGAUCCAUGCCUCCACUGUGUCAACCAAUCAGAACGCCAGUGGCGGGCUGGGCAGAAAGACCCGCCAGUGAUGAGUAUAAAAUUUUGUUUUUUUGUUUUCAGUAUAAGAUAUAAGUAAUUAAUCCCCAAACUGUUUUAUAAGUAUACACAUAUGUUCUACUUUGUGUGAAAAAUGAAAAAUGUUACCAUCUGAUGUGUGUAUGCACAUAUGUUAUACUUUGUGUGUAUAAUCCCUGAACUGGUUUAUAAGUAUGCAUUUGGAAAAUGGAAAAUUAUUUUAUAUAACAAAAAUUUUGUAAACCUGUUUGGCAAUAUAGUUUGUCAUGACUAGAUGCACAUUUGUUCAAAAAAUGGAUACAUUAUCAUGGACUAUGGCAUAGAAAUGAACAAAACUUUGGUCAUUUGGCUUAAAAACCUAAAUUUCAAAUAUGAGAAAUAACAAAUGUGUACUACAUAGUUCAUUUUCAAUUGUUACCAUCUGAUAUUAUUGUUCCACUAUGUUAAGCAAGAAAAAAAAUAAGACUUCAGCAAAAAGAAUCACAUUUUUCUGAUUUUUUUAUGAACUAGUUAUGAUUUUUUCAAUUUUCAAAGGUCUUCAGGAUUCAUCAGUGGCGGGCAUAGAUUUAACGUCCGCCAUUGAUAUGUGUUUUUGUGAAAUUUUGUUAUUGUUCAAAUUGAACCAUUAGUGACGGGUCUCCGGCGCCCGUUACCGAUGAGGAGUCAUCAGUGACGGGUGUACCUCGCCCGUCACUGAUGAGUGGUCAUUAGUGACGGGCGAGGAUGCGACCGUCACUGAUGUGUAUCAUCAGUGACGGUCGUGGUAGGCCCGUUACUGAUGAUUGUCAUCAGUGACGGGCGCGAAAGGCCCGUCACUGAUAUCUCGUCACAUAUGCACUGUUUUGUAGUAGUGAAGGUGUCUCCUCAAGGCCUCCAAUCUUGUGAGGAGGUGCUUGUGGAUUCGGAAAAGAGCCUCCAAUUGACUUGUGGAGUCGUGCCCUUCUCUUUGUUUGUAAAGGUUCAACGUUCGCCUUCAAGCAAGCCACUAGUGGAGCUCACAUCGCCUUUGUGGUGUCGUGAGAGGAGAAUAGAGUGAACCUUUGUAGCGCCUCUACCUUUGUGGUAGAGCAGUCCUCCAAAAGUAGACGUCCACCUCCCCAAAAGGUGAAACUCCGGGAUAAAUCUUCGUCUCCCGUGUGGUAUCAUUCUCGUCCUUUACUUACUUGUUUUACAUUAUUGUCUAUCCUUUGCUUCGGCUGGUGCUUCGGCUAUUGCACUUCAUACUAAGGUUGCAUUCACUUUAGAGAUUGUAGUAAGCCCAAGGAUUAAGUUUUUGUAUCUUUCAAGAAAAGAAAAAGAAAAGGUUAAAAUUUGUUAGUCACCUAUUCACCCCCACUCUAGUCGACCAUACCGAUCUUUCACUCACGUUGCUUGUGUCGCCGCCCCCAGCCUCUCCUGCCGGCCCGCCGCCAUGUCUGGGUCGAUGUCGACCGCAAGUUCCUCUGCUGCGGUGUAGAAGAGAGGCAAUAAGAAGAGCUCCCCUCCACCACCACAGCCCCCACAGCCGACCACACAAGCUCGCCUGUCACCGGUCGUCAUUGCCAUUGGUGAAGUGCCAUGCUGUCAAAUAAGGACCGUACUCCAUCUCGUGUGUCAAUCAGAGAUGAACCUAGACAAGUGUUCUACAAGUGCCCGAAUUACCGGGUAAUUUUGCUGAUUUCUCAUCGAUUUGCAAUUUCCAUCGACCCAGCAGUUAGCCAGCGUGGCAGUCAACUUGUCACCUGGCCGGUCAGCAGCGGCUCGGCCUAAUUUAGGACCGCGGAUGAACAACUUAAAGAGAAUUAGGGUCUAGAUAUGCACUUUAAAAAAAUUAUGACUCACUUGACACACCUCCAAUAGUUAUAGGACAUGUGGUCCAUUUUACUAAAAAAAAAAUCUUGGUAGGUUGCACAAAAUAAUGUUGUACUAAUUCCAUAUGGGUCUUGGUGCGGUCAUCAUGACUCACCCUAUAAAGUCGCUGGUUUUGGCGCCUCAAUUUUUUGUGUUUUUUAUGCUAUUCCUCAUCAACUCACCAUGAGAAAAUUACUUAAAACCACCACAUUUGAGUCACAUAUCUAAGAAAACCACCUUUUUUAUUUUUAUUUUCAAAUUACAAAAAGCGGUGGUAAUUUGUAAAAAAAAGGUGGAGAGGAACAACGGCUUCCUCUCCACCACAACAGUACGUACAUUGUGAUUCGAUCUGUUGUUUAGUUAUGAUCUGCGAGUUCAUAUUGCUGUUCGUUGGGCUAUUUAAUACUUUUAGUAUUUUUGAGAUGCAUCUGUUAGUUGCUGCUGUCGUCAUGAUUUAUAUUCUGGAAUUAUUCAUUGAAUUGUUAUUCCCGAAAUUUCUUGAUUUUCCAACAUUAGAUCAUUCCAUUUAUCCUUCCAGAACAGGCAGCUAUUUCCAUCGACAACCAAGCAAUUAGAGAGUCCUCUAAAUAUAGAAGUUAACUUCAAAAUGUCCCUCCACCAAAAGGAUCCGCAAGGAGCUAAGGCAUGUGGGACUGCAGAAGUGGUGCUCCAGAGCAGAUGAACCCAAGGAAAAUCCAUUCUGUUAUAGAAUUUAUCGAGGUGCUUGAUAAGCAAUGCCUUAUUCUGAAUUUUUAGAUUAAGAACUCCGAGACCCCCUUGUUCUUUGGUCUGCAGACUAUAUCCCAGGCUGCAAGACACUGGCAUUUCUCACCAAGAUCUGUUAGCUUGCUCCAAAGAAGAUGGUGACGCGCCUUGUCAAUGUGUUCAAUGAUCUUGAGUGGGUGGGCGGUGUGUGGGGGUGGGGGGGGGGGAUCUCCAAAGAGCACAUAGUGUAUGUGGCGAGGGAGGAGACCACAGAGUUAAGAAUGGUGACACUCCCACCAUAAGAUAACAUGGAUGUGGUGUUAGACAUCCUCCGUUCAAUACGGUCCACCAAAGGAAGAAAGUCAGUCACAUUAGGUCGGGUGGUACCGAGGGGCAAUCCCAAGUAUGUGAAAGGCAUUGAACCAAUCACACAUCCCAGGACAGAGGCAAGAUCUUGGGCUUUCUGAUAUGAAACAUUGACUGGAACAAGCUGAGAUUUAUGAAAAUUCACCUUCAACCUUGUAGACGCCGCAAAAUCAAGAAGUAUUUGCUUUAAACUUUAAAUGUCCCAACUGAGUAGCACAGGCCGGCAACACAAGAAUUGUGUCGUGGGCGUAUUGUAUGAUCGGGAAAUCAGAUUUUUAAGUCUGAGGAACUGGGAGGGAGACCUGGCCAAGGCUGUGAGCACGAUUAAUAAUGAACUGUAAAAGAUCAGCUGCUAAUACAAAGAGCAACGGCGACAAUGGAUCACCUUGCCUCCUCCCGACAACUCCAUUGAGUAAAACUGCCGACGUGCCAGAUGAAAAUAUCUCCUUGAUCCAUCUGCACCAGGUGUCAUCGAAGCACUUGUGCUUCAGAAUCUGAAGAAUCACCAAAUGCUCAAUUGUGUCAAAAGCCUUUUCGAAAUCCAGUUUAAGGAUAACAAUCUCACGACCCGAGGAUUGGCAUUGGUGAAUAAACUCGAAAGCGCACCCUAAGCAAUCGUGAACUGACCUCUCCUUCAAGUGACAAGUUGGGUUGCAAACCGGCACCCUUUCUCACGUCGUCAUUUCCGCGAAGCCCAGCAGCAGGGAACAAAUGGAGGAGGCGCGGCGCGCGCCAAACAAGACGAGACGAGCAACCGGACCGCGUCGUGCCGGCCAGUCGUCGUCUCAUCCCCUCGCUCAAUAACCAAACCCGACAAAUUUUUCAGACGAUCCCUCAUCUUCGUCUCCCUUCCGAUCUCCUCCCCUUUCGAAAGCUAGCCCGAAGCGAAGUUUUAACUUCCAUCGUGACUCUUCGGGCUGGCCGAUCGAUCUGUCGAUUCCCUCCCGAUCGCUGCUGUUCCUUGCCCCACGAGACCCUUCGCCUCCUCGAGUCCCCGACCGAUCUGGCGAUCUCCGCGAGGACCUGCGCCUCCAUUGUCCUGCCGGCCUCGCUGUGGCCACCUCUGCGCUCUCCCCUUCGGUCCUUGAUUAUUCACCUCUGCCUGCCUGCCCGUCUGAGCCGGUUCUGCCCAUCUGCUGGCUGCUGCUGCUGUGCUAAAUCACCUCAGGUGACGAGGACAGGGGCUGCAUCAUCUUAUCAUUCUUUAAUUUCCAAUUUGUUAUUGCGAAUUUGCAAAUACUCCGUACUUUCUUUCUACAUGGUUCAUAUGAUGUUGAAUUAAAUGAUCUAAUUUCUGAGCUCACUGUUAUAAAGUCCAGUUUGCCAGAGAGUUUAAAUGGUUUGUGAACUUUAUGCAUUGAGAAGAAAUUGGUGGAUGAGAUUGAUACUUAUAGCAUCAUCAACGACCUUGCAUCAAGAAAUGUUACGAGAAAAUUUUAAGAUAAUAUAUAUAAACUUUUUUUUUUGAUAUAAAUGUAACUUUUGAUUCAUUGUUAGUUUUGCCGCUGAAAGUUUAUACUAUAUACAUAUAUUAGUUAUUAUUAUAUAUAUUUUAUUUAGGGCCACAACAGGUUCACGAGUCCUAAUUUCUCACCGGGCCUCUGAAAUCUCAGAACCGGGCCUGCGCGACCGGCUUGCCGACGCGACUGUGCUGCCCCGCGCCCUUUGCCUCUCCCCGUAGCCCGCCCUUGUUUACCCAGCUAUAACAGGAUUCGAAGCAUAUUAGGCGAAACCCCCAGGGGCACCUAUAGGAGGUAACGCCUACCUGUUUCACAAUUGUAAUGCCUUGAUUCCACCUUCUUCUUCUUAACCUGUGUGAUGGCGGCGGUUAAGGUAUUUUAGGUGUUCGGUCUACCGUCUACCGUUUUGCUUCGGAUGAUUCAUGGAUGCGAUUACGGGCAAUUGGUAACGGGAUCAAAAUAUGUAAAAUUCCUGCAAGGACUGCAUUAUGCUACAGCUAGAUAUGAGAGAAUUAGGAAAUUCGGCGCUCCCUAUAUAUUGUUUUCCUUCGUGGGCCCUCUUCUCUUGCAUAGUGCAUUGAACCAGCUACUGCAAUGUUACAUGGAUGAGAGAUUACUUCCAUUUGUUCUUGUAAAAUCAGCUAAAUGUGGAAAGUACACUGACAAAUUGAUAAUACGUGUCCGUCUUAUUUUUUUGGUGUGCGACAAAGUUAUUUGCUUCAGUAAAAUUCAGGAUCCAGGUGCCAACAAUUAUUUGACUCCAUACAUGUAGCAAACUAGUUGGGUUUUAGACAUAGCUUGGGGGAAGAGGCAUAACACUAUUAACACGUGGUUCAUUUCAAAUACUUUACAAAGAAUCGCAUAUAAAUUUUCUUGAGCAUUGUCUAGUUCCUCCAGCUAUGCAAUAAAAGGUUCAACUUCUUGCUUCGACCGUUCUGAGUUUUAUGGUUUCACAAAUUAGAUGGAUCAUUUCUGGAGGUUCACUGAUUGCCAUUUCAUGGAUCCUUGAACGAUGUCAGUCAAAGUAGAUUCUGAUCUCAUUCAUUGAUUAUGUCUAUAUGCACCUAAAGUCAUUUGUCUAGAAAGAGCCAUAACAUCGUUAACAAGCUUAAAACAUAUCAUUUCUAUACUGAUUAGAAUUUACAAUAUCUAAGUUUUCAUUUUGUAUUAUGUUACAUCUUUAGUCGUAUGGAAUCCCUUUGUCAUAGGUCGUUUAAGUUUUUUCUAGUCACUUUAAUUGCCGUUCAUAAUCUACCAGGACAUCUGAGUUGCUAAUGCCAGUGAUUUUUUUCUUGAACCCACAUCUAAGUGCGUGUCUUUUCAUUAGAAGAAGCGCCGAGACGGUGUAGUGCCAAUGAUUAUGACAUAGUUCCCUUCGAUUGACCAAUAAAUAGCCGUUCUACUAAUUUAAAUCUAUGUUUCUAUUACACAUCAUUUUACCAUGUUUUCCUUUCUGUGCAGAUAUUUAGUCUUACAGUUAGCUACUCUUCUAUGAUGCAUGUUCUGGAGUGAGUCUCUCUAGAGCGGGAUGGGUUCCCUCAAUGACAUUGGCGUUGCAGCAGGAAUAAAUAUAUUAUCAGCAUUGGGUUUUCUUCUUGCAUUUGCAGUUCUGAGGAUACAACCUAUUAAUGAUCGGGUGUACUUUCCGAAAUGGUACCUCAAAGGGACAAGAAGCAGCCCAAGAAGCAUAGGAACUGUUUUGUCAAAAUUUGUGAAUGCUGAUCUGUCAACAUAUAUCCGGUUUCUGAAUUGGAUGCCUGCAGCUCUGCAAAUGCCAGAACCUGAGUUAAUUGAGCAUGCAGGACUAGACUCCGCAGUAUAUGUUCGCAUCUAUCUUCUUGGGUGAGCAUGAUAUUCAUGUUUCCCAUUCUCACAUCACAACAAUGCUUUCACUUUCAUGUCUCUCAAGCUUCAAAAGGAUGAAUACGGCUGCUACUGUGAUGAUGAAAUGUGGCCGUCCCUUAUGAUGUCAACAGACAGACAUGUAGAUCACAAUGUGUAACAGAUAAACAUAUUACAUUUACUGACGGUGCUUUGUUUUCUUGAUUUGUAGUUUGAAAAUAUUUGUGCCAAUUGCUGUGCUGGCAUUCAUUGUCCUAGUUCCUGUCAAUUGGACUAGUGGAACUUUGGAAAAUCAAAAGGAUCUAAAUUAUGAUCAAAUUGAUAAGCUUUCAAUAUCAAAUCUUGGAAAAGGUUCAAAAAGGUAUUAAUUAUGUGCACUCCAUCUAUAUGUUGUACUAUUUGCAGCACCAGCAUGCAUUGUGCCAUGUUUCUUCGACUAGUCAUGUGUUGUGUGUUAUGGAGUAUUUCAAGAUUGACACUCUAAAAAAAAAAGAGUAUCCCAAGAUUGCUAAAGCUGAUGUAUUAUUUUAGAUAUUCUAGGUCCAUUAUAUCAGUUGCAUAGAGUCCUAAUUAGAACCUUGUAAAAUUUAUAAGUACUGUUAUUAGGUAUUUAAAAUGCAUCUUUUCUUUGUCUCUAUUUUGGUAAGGUGGCAGUCAGAAAUGUGGGUUUUGUGAAUAUGUUCCAAGUUCUUCUCAGUUCUGGUGUAAGUUGAUUGCAGGUUACCUAUCCAAACAGAAACAUUUCGACCAGAAACAUUUGAACUUCUUGGAUAGGUAACCAAUCAACUGGUGUCUGGUGUAACUAAUUAACCGGUGAAAUAUCUCAUUGCGAAGGCUUAUAAGUAAACCAAAGCUAUUACCUAUUGAACUAGUGUAAGAUGGUUGGUUACCUAUCGAAUUAACACGGAGUAGCAUUUAAAACUCCAGCCACGUUGUUGUUUCUACAUAUUAAAAAAAGCAAAGGACUACCUGCAAAAAGCAAUCCUUUAUUGUAGGGUAUUCCAGAGAACAGUUCUCAUCAGUUUUUGUGCAAUCAUUCUUUCGGAUCCGAUUGGGGUGUGACUUGUGACAGAACGAGCAAUUACUUAUGUAACCAACACAAUCACCUAGCUGUACAGUUGACAGUUUUAAUGUUCAUAGUUUGGAAGCAAAGCAAACACAGCUUAUUGUUAUUCUUAUCUGCAAUUGAAACUGAAUUGACAGAAAUCAUAUCUUCCCAAGUAGUAACUAUUCAUAUAGCUACAAAUACCGCUUUUUUGUAUAUAUUCUUCUCCUGUCACUUCACUUCACUGACAAGUGUUGUACUGAAUUGUUGAAUGUUUUCAUAGGUUUUGGGCGCACAUAGGAAUGGCCUAUGUGUUUACAUUUUGGACAUUUUACGUGUUGUAUCAUGAAUACAAGGUUAUAACAACUAUGAGAUUGCGCUUUCUCGCUAAUCAGAAUCGUCGACCUGAUCAAUUCACAGUAAGAAACAUUCUCCAUACCAGCUUAACUAAUACUCCCUCCGAUCCAUAAAAAGUGUCGCCCAUUUUGUAUUAAGUGGACGACACUUUUUAUGGAUCGGAGGGAGUAGAUUAAAAAUUCAUCAGAUUUAAAUGUGGAUCUUAUCAGAUCUAUUUUAGCAGACUUGUUGCAUUGAAAAUUAUUUUAACAGAACUAUAUUGUCGUGUAGACUUUCCUACUCUUUAACACGUUUGUUUUUUGUUUAGGUACUUGUGAGAAAUGUACCACCGGACCCAGACGAAACAGUUAGUCAGCAUGUUGAGCACUUCUUUGCUGUGAAUCAUCGGGAUCAUUACCUCAGUCAUCAGGUUUUCUUUUGCCUAUCUUCUGUUCGCUGUAGUAUUCUUAUGGUGAAUAUAACUAUAUGAUUGGAAACAAAGAAAGCUUAAAAUUUAAGUGCAAGAUUGUUCAGUUAUUUUUUACUCUUAAACUGAAGUGCAAAAAUUUUCUGUACUCUUCAACUGAAGUAGGAGCAUUUGUUUACUCUUCUAGAAAGAGGGAUCGCCUGUCUAUAACAAAAUUCCAGGUACCUUCUAGUAUUAUUUGUAGUAAUUCGUUAAGUAUGUGAUCAACAGAUUGUAUACAAUGCAAAUGACCUUGCUGGCUUGAUUGAGAAAAAGAAAGGCUUGCAAAACUGGCUGGUCUACUACGAAAAUCAGCAUGCUCAUAACCCGGCUAAGAAGCCAACUAUGAAGGUACACUUCCCCCUUUCAAAAUUUAAGAACAAAUAUGUUUCACUGAUUCUCUAAUUAAUAUGGCAAGUGGUAUGAAUCAACUACCUCUCUUAUAGACAGGACUGUGGGGUCUUUGGGGGCAAAAAGUUGAUGCAAUAGAAUACUACAGGGAGGCAAUUGAGGAGCUAUGUAAGCAGGUACUAGUUUCAUUCAAAGGAUUUGUCCCGUUUAAUUUCAUUAUAUUCAGUGUAAUUAGACUCACUAUCCUUAAUUUGAUUGUACAGUGUAGUGCAUAUUAGUACCUCAUAACGUCCAUAAUACUACUGAGCAAUAUUAACAGUAUUUAACUUGUGUUACAGGAAGAUGAGGAGAGACAGAAGGUGAUGACUGACCCUAACGCUAUUAUGCCGGCAGCAUUUGUGUCUUUCAAAAGUCAGUGGGGUGCUGCUGUUUGUGCUCAGACACAGCAGACAAGUAACCCCACGGUGUGGCUAACCGAGUGGGCUCCAGAACCUCGUGAUGUUUACUGGCCCAAUCUUGCAAUCCCUUAUGUUGAGCUCUCGGUUAGGAGGCUUAUCAUGUCUGUUUCGCUCUUCUUCCUGACCUUUUUCUUCAUGAUACCAAUUGCAUUUGUCCAAUCCUUGGCAAAUCUAGAAGACAUUGAGCGGCGGCUUCCUUUCUUGAAACCUAUAAUAGAAAGGUGAGUAUAAUUAACUGCUCUUUGUUUACAGUUGAAUUUUCAACAAAAAUAUAUUUAGGGCACAUUGUUUCACAAGCAGCAUCUACUAAAUCCUGCCAUCCUGCUACUUUAACAAUUGAAAAAGGCAUCAACUCACUUGUGACUUAGUUCAUGCCUAGCUAGCAACUAUCAUGUACACAUUUCAGUUUGGAAAAUUAGGUUGUCUUCAUCGUAAAGAUGUACAAAUUUUAGAACACCAUGACAUGUGAGCUUACAAGUGUCGGUAUGGGGACACGGCAGUUGUAUUCUCCAACUUGCGUGAUCUUUGCGAUCAUACAGAGCAGUUUUGCCAAUUUAGAUGGCUAACAUUUGCAAUUCGUUAGUUGCAAAGUCUGUAUUCCAGUGCUUAAAUCCUUGAUAUCUUUGAAGAAGGCUUUGACCAAGAAUUACUCUAUUAACAUGUAGAUUAUGCGAUCCAAAUUAUGAGCAUAAGUAAGUACUCCGUACUUCUGAAUACGAAUACAAUGAUAUCAAAUUUUUAUGUCACAUAAAUUAUAUAUUAGUGGACUAAUUGUUGGUCAAAGGAAACGAAAUGCGCCUUAUAUUUUUUAACGGAGGUAUACAAGCUAUUAAUGUUACUUAAUUCUGCUCUCUGGAAAUGUUGAAUAUUAGUCACAAAAAAGAAAGUUCUCCCAUACUUGAACAAUCAAGUGCAGAGACAAAUUCUGAUAAUUAAAUAAAUGUUACAUAAAUCGAUUCAUUUGUUUUUUAAUCCAACUACAGUUGUUAAAGAAAGGAGUGUUGCCUUUCUGGAUCUAAUCAUCAUCGUCAAAUGCAAUAUCCUACAGAAAUUCUUUGAAGUCGGUUAUACAAGGUUUCUUGCCAGGGAUAGCAUUAAAAAUCUUCCUUAUACUUCUCCCGACUUUUCUUAUGACCAUGAGCAAGAUUGAAGGCCACAUAUCAGUAUCUGGAUUGGACAGGAAGACAGCUUCCAAAUAUUUCCUUUUCCUUUUUGUCAAUGUAUUCUUGGGGAGUGUAAUAACUGGAACAGCAUUCCAACAGCUCGACACUUUUAUCCAUCAGCCUGCUAGCAAGUAAGCCAAAUCUGACCGUUGCUUUUUUGCUUUGAUACUUCUAUCAUAACAAUGGAGUAAAUAUUUAGUGCCACUUAAUCUAUUUAUUUUUGUCCAUUCUUCUCCUUUGCUUGGCACAAGAAUUCCAGAGACCGUCGGAGAAUCAAUUCCCAUGAAAGCUACAUUUUUCAUCACGUACGUAAUGGUUGAUGGAUGGGCCGGUGUCGCUGCUGAAGUUCUUAGGUUGAAGCCGCUGGUCAUGUUCCAUAUAAAGAACACUUUCUUGGUCAGAACUGAGCAGGAUCGGGAGCAGGCCAUGAACCCUGGGAGCUUGGAUUUUGGCACCACAGAACCACGAAUACAACUGUACUUUCUCCUAGGUCUUGUAUAUGCUGUUGUCACACCAAUUCUUCUUCCUUUCAUCAUCGUGUUCUUCAGCCUUGCCUAUCUUGUUUUCAGACACCAGGUUUCUUUCUAUUCUUUCACCAGCAUGAUUUAUUUAUUUAUUCUUAUUGGUGUUCCACAUUGGCACAGAACAUAAAAUUAUGUGUACCCAUAUAAUCAGAAACAAUUGAUUGUUUCCUGUAGUAGACUAAUAAUACCCAGCCUUCUAGCCUUAAUUCUUCUAUUAGCACAGGUCACUAAUAAUAUAUUUUCUGCUUCUUUCGUUUGGAAGAUCAUCAAUGUCUAUAAUCAGCAAUACGAGAGCGGUGGACUAUUCUGGCCAGAUGUGCAAAGGCGAAUUGUUGCCGCACUAAUAGUAUCUCAAAUCCUCUUACUGGGGCUGCUGAGCACACAGGAAGCAGAAAAGUCCACUGUCUCUCUUCUUCCUCUUCCUGUCCUGACGAUAUGGUUCCACUAUGUUUGCAAGGGCCGGUUUGAACCAGCAUAUAUAAAGUUCCCCUUGCAGGUAGGUUGAAACUUAUUCUUCAUUAGUUACCCGCAAAAAAAAGAAACUUAUUCUUCAUGCAGAUGUUCAACAUAGUGUCCCAAGUGUUAAGCUAGGACAUCUUGAUGCAUAUACUUACUGCAUGGUUUUGCAGGAAGCCAUGGUUAAGGACACACUGGAACGGGCAAAUGACCCAACUCUGAAUUUGAGAGAUUACCUGAAGGAUGCAUAUGUGCACCCGGUUUUCCAAAAGAAUGACUUGUAUGAGCUUGUUGCCAUGGAUGAAGAAGAGAAGAACCCCCUCGUAGCGACGAGGCGGCAGUCCCGCAUGAACACACCAGUAGAGAGUAAGUUCAACUCCAGUUCUGGCACUAAUGAGGGAGAGUCCAGUCGGAUGCGCCCUACUUGAAGACCAACUUUCAUGAGAAGAUGUAACAUUUUUUAGAUUUUGGUGAUCUUGUAAAUGUUUUUGAAAAAGGAAGUGCGACAUGUAGCAGAAUGUACAUUAUACAUGAUCAACAGUUGCAUAAGUGCAUUAGCAUGUGCUGCCACAAUGAAAUUAUAAAUUUAGAACUGUUGCAAGAUAAUAAUUUGAGCCCUUGAGCACUUCAUCAUCUCAAGCACUAACUUGGCCGUUUGUUGAAUCAAGACUUUGCACCCAAUUAAGUUUAACAUGAUACAUUCAUACUGAGGAUUGUAUUGAUGCCUUAUAAAUGCAAGCUACAGUAGUCUUGAAAAGUUUGUAUAAGGCAAAGUAGUUUCCUACGACAAACUUGGGCCAACCAGGUGCAUCGAUUUUGAACUGCCACAAUAAUUUUGAACUCGAAACUUCCAGAAGAAAAGCAAAUCAAACAUUGUGUUGUGAGCGUUUGUACUGUGUUCUAAAAAAAAAGAAUAAGAAGAAAAAAACAUGAUAAGCUAUUAACAAAUUUUUUGCAAUAUUAGGUACAGACACUAGAAAUUCUUUCCUGUUGAUCAUCUGAAACUGAGCAUUCUUUCCAAUACAUGGCAUACUUUGUACAUUUCUUUGCCUUGACAGUAUCCUUUCUUACAAAAAGCAAUGAUCACUUCCCGGUACAUAUACACAUCUAUUGCAAAUCCUUGCCCAAGAAUCCACCCAAUCAGAUUAUGCAAUUCACCAAGCUUACCACCGUUAAUGAGACCGCGUACAAUACUUGAAACUGCAGACGGAGAGAAACCAUCCUCACAUGAUCGGUAGAAACAGCUAAGUGCCACCGAAAAUUUCUCCUCUCUACAUAGACAAUCAAUCACAAGACUGUAGGUGGUUUCAUUGGGAGCAAUGCCCUCUUCAAUCAUGUCAUGAAGCAAGAGGUAGACCUCAUUAGCUUUACCUGACAAACUGAGAUGAUGGAUCAAUGUAUUGUAUGUGAUAGCAUUGGCAACAAACUCUUCACUCCCCAUCAAACAAAGCGCGUUACGAAGCUUUCCUAGUUUACAGAGGCUGUGAACUACAAUGUUUAAGGUCCAGCUAUUUGGAGCUAUCCCUUUCUUGGACAUGUCAGUGAACAGCUUGACAACAGCCAACCAUCUCCUCUCAUCACAAAGCCUCCUCAUCACGGUGUUAUAGUUGAUAACACUGGCAUCCCACCCAAGCUCUGCACUGCACUCCAAAAGGCAUUUUGCAGCCCACGCAGUUAAGCUGCGGCAAACACCAUUAAGAAGGAUAUUCAGAGUGACCUCAUUUGGGUGCAACCCAUUGGAUAGCAUCCUAUCGACCAAUGCAAAGCUCUUAUCGACCCUACCGGAUCUGCAUAGCCCAUCCAUGUAUGUGCUGUAUGUGAUUGUAUCAGGUAUCCACCCUUUUGAGGUGCUCUCCUCAAGAAGCACGUCUACUUCCUCAAAAGCACCGACCUUGGAAAGAGCUUCAAUCAAGACAUUGUAAGUAGCUGUGCUUGGAGCACAUCCAGCAGCGAUCAUCGAGUCCAACAGCUUCUUGGCCUCAUGAAUCAUUCCAGUAGUGCAGUACGCGUGCAUGAUAGGUGUAUAUGUGUGUGCAUUCGGGUGGCAUCCUUCCUCCAGCAUCAAGUCCAGCACACCCAGAGCUUCAGCUACCCGCUGAGCUCUGCACAGCCCACAGAUCAGAGUCGAGUAAGUGACCACGUCUGGGGCCACACCAUUAUCCGUCAUCCACCGUACGACCUCGUAGGCCGCGUCGAACUGCUGCAGGCGGCAGGCGUAUACCCCGACGAGCACAGUACAAGCCACAGUGUCGGGCGCGACUCCAUCCGCGGCCAUAGCUUCGAGCACGGCAAGCGCCGCGCCAGGCCUGGAUGCAGAGGAUAACGCUGCAGCUACCGUGGUAAAGCAAGCAGCGUCUGGGCGGCGCUGGAGGAGGCUGCGCAUUUCGUCGAGCAGCUGGAGGGCGCGGUCGGCGCCUGCGCCGGCUCCGUCGCCAGAACCGAAUGCGGCGUGCGCGGACAUGAGACGGUUGUAGUCGUACGGGUGCGAGGACCGUGGCCGGGUCGGGGGAGGCAAGGGCGGAGGUUGGUUGGAGAGCUCCUUGGCGAGGGCAGCGAAGCGCAGGAGGAAGUAGUGGUCUCGGAGGUGAGUGGACGAGAGGGAGCGUACCAGGAGGAGACGGGGAAUGCGAGGAGAGAGAUAGGGCAUACGAUGGUGGGAACGGCGGCGGCGGCGGCGACAUCUGAGAGCCUGCGAGCGGCGGCGGCGGCGGGUUGCGGACUCGCAGCCUAGAGGCGGAGCAAGCAAUGUGCGAACGUCCCUUGUUGGCGGGUGGAAAGUGAGACAGAGGACCAGUACGUGGCUGGCUGUAGCUGGCACACGGGCCGGCUACGGCUUGCCAUGCCGUGCCGGCCCGCUUCAGCCAAACCCAGGCCCAGGCACGGAAUCGCAAACCGGCCGGGCCAGCCCUGGCCAGUUCAGCCUGUUGUUGGUUUCGUUGUUUAAAAUUCAGAGAAAUAAAAAAUAUGAAAAAUGAGCAAAGUGUCACGUGGGUAUUAAUUUGGUGGUUUCGUUGUUUAGAAAAACGAUCGGUUGCGUGAGGAACGAAGGAAAAAAAUCAAGGUGGCUCUUUUUUUUAGAGCAAAAUCAAGGUGGCUCGUGCGGUCAUGCUGAGCUGCUGAGGCGUUCGAGAGAUGGGCCAAGAAAGAGCGAAGGCCCAGAGGAAAAGAGAACAGAGAGAAGGGAAAGUCCGGGGUGAAAAGAAAAAGAUAUGGUCUAGGCGAGCUAUGUAAGAAAACAAAGAAAAAUGCUAAACGGGUUGUGCCCAUACCUAUUUAUUGAAGCACUCGAUAACAAUUAUAAUCAGCUGGAUUCAUUAUGAAUUGUGUCCAAUAUAUUACUUGCGCAGAAUUAUUAUCUUGUGUAAUCUUGUUAUGUAGGCAUCUUAUUGAAUUCCACAAGUUCAAAGUAAAAAUGAGGUGCGAUAGCAUACAACGGAAGAUGAAAGGUGAAGCCUAUCAAGUGUACGUUUUAACAAAUCAAACGGCACAUGAGUUGGAACUUGCUAAAGAAAGAUAUCACGAACUAAAGUUGAAUCCGAUCCGGGUCCGAGCUGUCAGGAGACCAGAAUUUUUUUUAAUCACCCAGGUCGCAUACGGAGUCCAAAUCAAGCAAACAAGUACUUGUUGGAAAGAUAAUUUCGAGACCUUUCCAAAGGAUCCGGCCCCACCAGAAGAUACGACGCGUGCUAACCGUGGCGGACAAAACAAGCUGACAGAUCUGUUUUUCUGUUUCCUAAUUAAAGAGUUGUAGUUUGUUAAGAAAGUUAGAGAUAGAGUUGGAUUUCGGCCUCUUGUUAAAAAAAAAGAGUUGGAUUUUGGCCUCCUUAAUCAAGGUGGAUGAAAAUCUCUCUCCAUCUUUCUUUAUAUACCGCACGAGCCCCAUAAGGAGAAUUGGGUUUUGUUUAGUUAAAAGUGAGGCAUCUCUGCAAAUUCGUGUAAUCGCGGGUGUCGGCUAGACCACCUGCUUUACCGCUUUUGGAACCCCAACUUAUCGUCUCGUUGAAACAUUGGUUUGAUAUAGUAUACUCGCAAUUUCAGAUUGCAUCUGCUAUUUAUCUUGUUCUUGCUUGUUCUUUGAUUGCUUGCAGGAACAAAGACCUUCGUGGUCAGGUUGAUCGUGCCCCCACUUGAUCAAUAACUCUCUAGAGUUGGUGUAUUGAUUGCUAAGGCGCUGCCUCCUAGGCCAUAGUUGGAUCGUCAACGUCACCUCCUACCCAAAUCGAGAGUUAUCAAUCUCAUCGAAAGAUCGGGCCACCCCCGAGCCACAUCACGAUGAUAUGGACAUGAUCAUCCACGCAUGACCCCAACCGGGUCGCGGGCCGGCCGACGGGCUAUUUUUAGGGCACGGCCCAUGUCACCAGGUCACGAGAGUGUAAAUCUUCUUAACUUUGAGCCUUCGUAAGAUGUAAAUGAUCCGAAGCAACGGUUGUCUGUUUUAAGGGCAAUGUGAGAGUGUGAAUCUUCUUUAACUUUGAGCCUUGAUAAGAUGUAAAUGAUCCAAGGCAAUGGUUGUCUGUUGGUCCAGACGUCCAGUGACCGGGAGGAUUAUACUACUCAGGAUACUCAUAAUGGGAGUAACUUGGGUGGUAACAUAAGUGCCAACUAGGCAAUUUUGUGAUGUGACAUGGUAACAAAUGAAGAAAGAGAGUGUGGUGGUAACUAGAUAUGUUACCAUAACAUCACACAAAUCAAGACAAGAUGAGUCUACAAGCUAAUAAAUGACACAAUAUAUGACACCAUACAUAAGUUACUACCCACUAUGGAGAUAGUAAUUUAGACUAGUAACAUAAGCAUGUUACUACUCUAAGUUACUCCCCGCUAUGACCAGCCUCAUAGUGAGAGUAAUAUAGGUGGUAACAUAAUUGUCAACUAAGCAAAUUUGGUGAUGUGGCAUGUUAUUAAUGAGGAGAGAGAGGUUUGUGGUAACUAGAUAUGUUACCAUAACAUCACACAAACCAAGGCAAGAUGAGUCUACAACCUAAUAGAUGACACAAUGCAUGACACCACAUAUAUGUUACUACCCGCUAUGAAGGUAGUAACUUAGACUAAUCACAUAUGCAUCUUACUAUUCUAAAUUACUCCCCACUAAGAACAUCAUUUCGUCAGUGGAUCGUCAAAUGACCGGGAUAAUAGAUUUGUUUUCGUCUAGUAGAAUAAAAGCCAUGGGCGUUUAUAACGUUUAUAGCUUAAAAAAGAAAAGAAAAACGCGGCAGCUCGAGGCAGGGACGGAGCCAGGAAUUUGACACAAGGAGAGGAGUUGGGAUUAGGGAGGGCCAAACUAGAGACUUCACCUAUUUUAAAGUGACUUUUAAUGAGCUGAGUAGUAACAAUUAACUAAAAUGAAACUUCUUUGGGGCACAAAGCCCCCCGGCGCCUGACGAGGGGCUACCUCGGCAAUACCCUGACUCAAGGGUUUUCGACUGAGGAAGAGCACGGGGUGCACCAGCGAUCUCAUUGACUAACAAAGACUAGGAGAGUCACAAGAUUUACCCAGGUUUGGGGCCCUCGGAAGGUAAUACCCCUACGUUCUGCUUUUGGUGUAUUGUAUUGAUCGAGAUUACAGAGAAGCUAUGAAGUUAUGGUGCGCAAAUGAAUCUGGCAUAUGUGUAGAGGUUGGCCCUUCCCGAUCCCCCCCCCCCCAGCCUUAUAUACUGGCGGCUAGGUCUCGGGCGCGAUAAUCGGGAAGGUUACAAUCGGAUCAGUUCAUUCCGGUAUGAUGAGAUUAUGUUUCUUGGCUUGAACCGCACUUUGAGGGACUCGACCUGCAUAUACUUGAUGGGCCUUCGAGUGGGCCCCCUGUUGGGCUGCAUCGGGUAUAUGAGGGUUGAGAACUCGAAGGGUCAUUCCCUCGUCAAUUAGCCCCCGAGUCCCUGUUCGAGGUGUAGACUCGAGGAGGGACUCAAGAGUUUCCUUAUUCUGAUUAUUCGACCGUGUACCAAACUGCAAUAUCUUCCCUUGGUCGAUUGACUCAACUGUUCGUCAGGCCCAAACUUUGACAGUUCUUAGCUUAUGAUGCGGAAAACACAAGGUAUUUCUGCAAAUUGUAUUGAUGUUGUGUGGGAUGGUUGCGUAACACGCCUGGAAUACUCGAUUGGUCGAGUCCAGUUAAUUGCACCGGGGCAAAAACUUUGUUAGCAUACAUCAGCACUCAAGUCCCCAGGCUCGAGCCUGGAUAACUGGCGGUGUUUGAGUUAAACCUGCCGAGGGCUUUACAGACUCAAAAUCCAGUGCUGCGGGGCGAUCAACCAACAUGUCCGUUGGGAUCUUUUCUUCAUGCAAGCGCAUGGAUGAUCUGGAAUCGCCUGAAGGUGCUGAUUUCCAGACCCGAUGAAAAACCAUCCGGUCUUGCCUUCACGUUAUGAAUGUGGCUUCGGGUGUGUUUCGCAGUCUGUGCGACCCAGAUAAUGCUGUCGAGUGCCCGUGUGUCGGGUACACUUCGAGUUCCUGUGCCGUCGGGUAGCAGUCCCGAGUUUUCUAGAGUUUGAUAUGACGUCUUUGCUGACGCUCUGAUUAAAUAAAUGGUCUGGGCAGUCGAUGGGACGUACCUUAUGCUUUACGCACGGACUGAAUCGAGUACUGUUGAUGUGGUCAGUUUGAUUUGACCACACGACGUGCGCGAGAAUUUAGGCCCAUUGAUAGCUGUCAUGGGUUCCUGAACCGGUGGAAGGGGAAACGGCUCAUUUCUGCUGGGACCACGCGUCAUACGCAGAUGCGAAACGCGUGGCAUCAUUCUGAAUCGUGCGGCGGAGAUUCCGCCCUUUCCUUGUGGCAAUAUCAAUCUUCUUCCUCUUGCCUCAUUUCGUCUCCUUGUCUUCCGCCUUCAACCCCUGCUUCCUCCUACGCUCAGCUUCUCCCAGCUUCCUCUCCAUCGUUCUCACUAGCACCACCGCUCACUUGCUGCCAUGGGCAAGAAAAAGGCUUCCGCCGCCAGCGCCAGCGCCGCCGCCGACAGUAGGAAGGCAUCCCGCGGUGCCUCCUCCACCGUAGACAAGAAGCAGAAGAAAGCCGCCGACGCUGCUCCUGCCGUCGAUAAGAGGACCGAGGAAUGGGAGCGGUCCGGGAUCUUGGCGCGCCAUUUCUCGGUGAUGAGGAAGCAUGGGCUGAUCCCGGGGGAAGCCUCCGGCAAGACCCGCGUCCUCGGCAACGAGGUAACCCCGCGCCCUAGGCCUGGAGAGCGGGUGAUGUUUUACGACUUCGCCAUCCGUGCUCUUUCUCUCCCGGUCCAUUUCUUCUUCCAUGGACUGCUGCUGGCGUACGGGCUUCAGAUGCACGAUUUUACGCCCAAUAGCUAUCUGCACAUUAUGUGUUUCAUCACACUAUGUGAAUGCUAUUUGGGCGUGAAACCCCACUGGGGCCUGUGGAAGAAGCUGUUCAUCAUCAAGCGCCAGGGCAAAGGUGACCGGAUUUACAAGACCGGAGGCGCCAACAUCCAGAUCCGUGGAGACGUGCAAUACUUCUCUCUUCACCAGAUUGAAUCGGUGCAGCAGUGGAGACGCCGGUGGUUUUAUCUUCAGGAUGAGCCAGUCGACGACAGAGAAUUCAGUCUGCCCGAGUUCUCUACAUCCGCUCAGGUGAGGAAGCUGAAGUCCUGGGAUCAUGAGCUGUCGGCCAAAGAAGAUGCAGAGGCUAAUGCUCUGCUAAAGCAAGUAGUCGAGCUUCAACAGACUCCCGAGAAAGAGAUGAGUGGUUUGCAGCUCAUUGCUCUUUUUAUGAAGAGGUGGAUUCAACCGAUACAGGCCCGAGUCCAUCCUAUGUGGGAGUACUCGGGACCAGCUGAUUCCACUCGAGUCUGCGUGCAAGAACCAUCGGACGAGGACCUUCUGACCCGGGUUAGAGUGGUCACUCGAAAGAAGAUCACCUUGGAAGAUCUGGAGUCGCCUCUUCCCCCCUACGGACCCGACCGAUCGCGUGAAGAGGUGAUUUUAUUUCCGUACUCACCAUUUAUUACUCUGCAAUCUCCAAAUUAGUCUUAUUGAAAGAUUUUACUACAGGGCCACCAAGAGGUCAUGAGCCAACCUCCGCUUGAUGAGGGAGUGCCAGUCGACGAUGACGAUCUGGCUGAUUGUUCCAACUCUGAUGCCCUUUACGAAGAUGACGUGGAUGAGGACGAGGACGAUCAGCAAUCCCGAAAGCGGGGUCGGUCGAGUGAAUCGUAACAGUCGACUGGAGACUCUUAUCCGCAUGAGAUGCGAGAGGAGAUGAUUCCUUCGAAUGCUACAGCCGCAUCCCGACGAGCCAAAGCUCCAGUCGCCGUCUCCGUCGGCUCCCCUAACCAAGAAGGCCAAAGUUGCUGUCAAACCGAAGGGACGUCUUCGCAUCUUUGACGGUUCGUCGAGUGGCUCCUCCAGGUACGCUUUGUUAAAAAACCAUCCCUUUUGCCUGUUGGAGUUUCUCUCUUCUAGGUUGACGGGUAAUCGAAAUCCACAAUGAUGGUGAUGCCGCAGCCAAGAACUCUUGCACCGUUUCUCCAGCCCGGAGUCCUUCGAAACCGAAUACGUCUUUGGCUUGGUGUGAGUUGCAAGAUUCUCCGCCGGCAAGGAACUCGCUGGCAGGGCUUCCCGAGACACCACCGGCUCCAACGAUCGCGCAGCCGUCGACUUCUGCGUCUCAGCUUCGUAUUGGGUCGUUGGCUCUGGAAAGUCAUGUAAGUAUUCUCCCGAUGGGAGUGCUGAGUGAAAUUUUUCUGCUAAGGGUUUUCACUCAUGCUUCUGUCCAUUGCAGCCUUUCGUCGAAAUGCUGGUAGAUCUUGGAGACCGCUACCUGAUAUUAGAAGAAAAGAACCAGCAGCUACGCCUGGAGCUGGACCAAGCGAAAGAGGCCGUUGCUCACACCAAUGGUAUGAAUUUGUGUUCUUUAGCCAGAUUUAAUCCUUCUCCAUACUGCCUGUUAACCAUGUCUGCAUUUGUAGGUUUGACUAAACAAGCCAACCGACUACGCGAUGUGGCGGUUGGCACUAGUCAAGAAUGGCGGUCGAAGAAUGAGUGACCAGUUGCCGAUUUCACCAAGGAAUGGGCGGCUGCUCAUGCCGGGGUGGACGCAGCUGUCAAGCAGUCCAAAUUGGAGGCACAUGAGAGUCUUGCACUUGAGAGGAGGGAGAUUGCCUCUUGAGACGACAAAUUGAAGUCGCAACUUUCAGCUGCCGUCGACGGACUCAUCGGUGAGUUUGACCUUAUCUUAGGAAGUUUCCUUUCCCCUUCGAUUACUUCGACUGAUGCGAUAUUUGCGCAGAUUCCCUUGGCUCUUUGGCCGCCUUUCGUGGCAAACACCAAGUGACUGAGUUGAGCGGCAUGGUGGGCUCCGUCGGAGAACUUUGCGAUCACGCGGGUGAUAUCGGAGCAUUUAAUGCUUGCUUGUGCCAUACUCCACGCCCUGACCAGCCCUGCACAAAAGGAGCCUGCCGGGCGGCCACGUGGUGCCAAUACUCUGCUUGCAUUGGGCGCCGGCCCUGUUGUAAGCGCUAGGGAACACCCUCCCCGGCAAGUGACCUUCCCGGGGGGCGCCCUGACGGGAACCAUCAUGCUGCCAUCCGGGGCAACCCCCGCAGCCCGGUUAGUCUUGCCGAGCUGGUGGCUUCCCGGCCAGUUGUAACAUCCCAAAUUUUCAAAACUCUCCAUAUGCAUUGCAUCUCAUAAGCAUCAUGCCACCCUUGCAUUUAAUCACAUUAAAAAAACCCAAAGUUAACCAAGAAAACCCUUUUGCAAAAGUGCUUUUAUUUGAUUUUGGCCCUUUUUCUUGCUUUUGGAUAAUUGCAUUUUAACCCAUGGGGGUUUUGGCAUAAAAAGGGGUUUAAUGCAUAUAUAAAGCUAUCCCAUAAUUUGGCUUUUGAAUUUGUUUUGAAAAAAAACAAAUUAUUUUGAUAGUUAAAAAGCCCUAAAGGCUAGUUUAUAGGCAAAAGUAUUUUUAAAUAUUUUGUUUUGAGGGAAUUCUUGUCCCAAAAGUUGAAUCAUAUGAAAAUAUGAUUUUACAUAUUUUGUUGCAAUUUAUUUGGUUUGUUUUGGAGCUUUGAAUCAAAUUUGGUAUUCAAAAACAGAAAAAAAGAAAAAAGAAAAAGGAAUGAAGAAAAAAAUAAGAAAACCGUAGCCGGCCCGGCAAAAUGGGCCGAACCGGCCCACUUACCUGCUGCGCGGCCCGGCCGCCGACUGAGCCAGCCCACUCGUGAACCGCCUUCAGCCGCUGACAGGUGGGUCCCCUAUCAGUAUCGUCUUCAACCGCCGGCCGCUUCUUCCGCGCGCAACAGCCUGCGUCGCCCGCGACUCCCACCCCGAGUCCGCGUCGCCCCUGACCCCCUUUCUCCGCAUUGAGCACGUCUCUAUAAAGCUUCUCCCGCCCGCAGUCCUUCCCCUCUCUCGCACAACUGAAUCCACGCCGCCAGGCUGCCGGAUUGCUCGCCGGAGUUCCACGGACACCGCCGCAAAUUUUCGUCGCCGCCGGUUAACCGGUGAACUUUAGCCCCCAUCUUCUGUUGUUCCUUUCUUCUUUCUUCCUUGCGCACCCCGUGACACGCUUGGUUUUCUUUCUUUCGCACUGUAGCGCCUGGACCACCAUCACCCGAAGCACCCUCAAAGGAAGCCGUCGCCGUCAUCGGGAUCGCCUCGCGGAGCCGCAUCUUCCCCGCCUUCUCCCGAGCUCGCUGCUUAACCGAAACGCCGCCGCCCAACUCCCCGAUUCGCCGGAGCUUCGCCGGAACCCUAGCCGCCGGCCGGAGGUGAGCCCGAACCAUCCUGACCGUCGGAUCUUGUUCAACAGCCAAGAUUAGAACGUUUUUAUUGAACCGUUAUGCUUAGAUCUCGACGCCCGUUUUAUUUUAAGUGAGAUCCAUCGGUUCGUAUUAAAUCCCUUACCGACCGGUAAUGGCCUGUAGGAUAGCGCCACGUGUCGCCCUUUUUAAUUAAAACUUAUUUCUCGGCCGAAUUAAAUAAGAACUUUGCAGAAAAGCCCCUGGAACUUCAAACCAUCAUAUCUUUUAAACCAUUUGACCAAAUUUGAAGUUCUAUACCUUUCUGGAAUCCUCACAACCUAUAGAAUCUUUUGGCAUAGUUUAAUUUUGACUUUGAAAAACUUUAACAGGAGAAAAUUGCAGAAUGCUUAAUUAUGGUUUAAUAUUCAAAUGAAUUAUUUCAAACUAGUUUUGAGCAUGUUAGCUUGUUGAAAAAUAUUUGAGUAUACUCUCUGUCCAUUAGGACCAGAGGGGAAAUUAUUUUGUAAAUAUUUUUGCCACAGAAAUUUAAUCUUGCUCCAUGCUUUAGAAAAAUCAAAUAAACUUUUAAUUAAAGCCAUCUUUGUUUCAUACAAAGUAAUUAUCUCUUUGUUAUUGUAUAAUCUGUCCAAAAUCUUUUGUGAAGCUUUUCAAAACAGAAACUAAACAUGUUACAUUUAGAAGCAACCUAAGUGUGCAUCAUCAUGACAUUUGCAUCAUAGCAUGUUUUUGUAUUGAAUGGCAUGUUUAUUAUGUGUGUGUUUUCUUUUAUUUUAGAUUGUGUGGAUUGUGAACCUUGUUGUUGCGAAGAGUGCGAGAACUACCACAACCUUGGACAAGGCAAGUUCACUUUGAUCAUCUCCCAAAUAUUUUUACUGUGCACUAGUUGUUUUAUUAGUUGCAUUAGGAAUAUUAAUCGUACCUCUAUGCUAGCUAUAAAUACCAGGUAGUAUGAUUUACCAUUGCCAUUACCUUGUUACCAAAUUGCCAUUGAUUGUAGUUGAAUGCUAGGCUAUGGUAGUAUCGAGGGGGAAAUUACUACACUAUGAUAUUCUUAUGCCUAUGGAGAAAGGAAAUGUUUUAUUAGAAUAACGCAAAACAAUUAAUUUAACGAACCAUCCUGAGUGGGCAGCUUUGAGGAUUUUGAGGUUAUGCGACGUCAGGUCCAUUUCUAUGGGUCCCUCAGAGUCGACUCUCCGUGGAUUCGGGGAGGGAUCGUCCAUGGACGUCUCCCCGUGGAUUCGAGGAGCGCUUGCGUUGCAAAUGUGGAAUGCCACCUGGGGUAACCGAGACCGGACUAGUUUCCUAUUUAGUAGCUUCCAGUACAACCACAAUGCUAAAUGGGCUCUUGCGAGACAAGAGUAUGUUGUAUGAACCUAGACCCGAGAAAUUUUACUAAGGUAGAAUGUGUAGGGGGAGCGUGAUUCUCUCGUGGUUUAGGGAAUUACCUCUGAAAAUCUCGUAAUCGACGCCGUUGCUACUCUACCCUGAGGACAGCAAGGGAUCAACCCGUCGGUUUCUUGUGGAGAAUGUGUACAAACUCUCGAGAGCAUCAAAACUAAGUACUUAGCCGUGUCCCCGAUUAUGGACAAUUAUGAGCAACUGGAUGUGGAGCUGUAAGGAAAGUCUCACUCACUCUAAUUUCUUAAUAAAAUGAAUGGUUUGAAUUUGGGUUUAGGAGCAUUGAUGUGUCUACUCAAUGUCCUUAGUUUAAUAGGAGCAUGGGUGUGUCUACCACAUGUCCAAUAGUGAAAAAAUUUAUUUGAUUAAAUUAUGCAAAUAGCCUUGAACCCCACCUUGCCACAUUAUACAUAUACUUGGUAGGUUCUGUUAUAACCCCUAGUGAUCUUGCCAAUACAUUCAAUGUAUUGACCCUAGUGGCUGCAUCGUUUAAUGAUGCAGGAAACUCCGACGAAGAGUAAGAGUAUGUUCUGGUUCUUCGGGUUACGGGCCUAUAUUUCAACACGCUCUCACCGUGGUGUUGAUGUAGCCCUUGUAUCUUCCUUUUUCCGCUGUUGAACAAUUGUUUUAUUUCCAGCUAACCCAUGAGGUUAUGCGAGUUUGUAAGUACUUUUAAAUUCUGGAUGAUGCGUUGUAAUAUUGAGACCUUUGUUCUAUGAUAUUACAUCUUGAAACGGUGAGUGCUAGUGAGUCGAUCCGGGGACUAGCACUAAAAGCACAGAGAUCGAAUCCGUGUAUGGGGCGGUCGCUUCAGCAGCUCGCACUGCGCUGCCCGGGGUGCCGUCCUUGCGGGGAGCAAGCGAGGCGACCCACCUGUUGCGCAAUGGGGGUACCCUGGGUGCCACUGGUGCGACAGUAGCCCCCGGGCGUGGGCCGGCAACACCUGUUCCUGGGCGAAGUCAUCCUUGGUCGGUUGCCGGGCUACGCCCUUAACCGACGCGUGGGUCCCGAGUCGUUUCGGGUUCCCGUUCAUGUGCUGCUCCAAGGGCUCCGCCGUUACAGGCAGAGUGGUGGGGGCGAGAUUUCCGCCCUAACCUCCCCUUAACUGCGGGUGGUUAAGGCCACGUCCCGCAUUCCCCUUCAAUUACAAGUUUGUGUAAGAGGCAGGGACGGCGCUCCGGCCGGAGCCGGCAAGAGGGGGAGAACCGACGCUGCGCCCAUCGCGCCUAGCAAGAAGCCGCGCACCCGGGCCAGUGUUAGUGCCAGCCAGGCCAACACGCGGGCUGGCGGCGCCGCCACUACGCCUACCGCCGACCCGGUCCAAGAGGAGGAGGAGCCCGCAGCAGGUACGGACCCCUCUCCUGAUUCCAUUGUACACGCUCGUCCUGCACGUUGACCCGUGACUGUGUAAUUACCUUGGCCCCCCCACCAGACCCGCAACCCGCUAGCACGGGUGUGGAGGAAGACGUGGCUGGGGAGCAGCAGGCGGCUCCCCUGCAAGGGAACGAUGCUCCCCCCGGCCAGACCAUGGCAGCGGGGGUCUCGUCCUCGUUCGCCGCUACUUCUAGCCCGGAUCUCGGCAUCCUUGUCGGGGCGACUUGGGACCCAAUCACCUGGGACCCAAGUAUCUACGAUCAGGGGCACCAGUUCCUCGACGCCAUCAAGGAGCAGCAACUGGCCUUCGUCACCUCGUUCAACAAGGUGAGGGAGCACCACGAGCUCGCGAAGGGUCAGCUGGGCGAAGUGUGGCGGGAUGUCGAGAGGGAGUGGCAGGAGCUCUCCCGGCUGAGGGAGGAGACCCGCCUGGCUCGGCAAGCCAGGGACGAGGCCGCAAUGCCGGUCGUCCCCGAGGCAGAGCUCCACCGGCAGCUGGAGGCCCAACGUGCCAAGCACCAGCAAGUACUGGACUCGCUGGCCGCGGCGCGGGAGAAGGCCAACAAGGAGCAUGAGGAGGUGCUUGCAACAGCCCAAGCUCGCCUCAACGAGAAGAGCGAGCUGGUCAGCAGCUACUCCUCCCAGCUCCAGGCGUUGCGCACGAAGCUGGAGGAGCAGGCCAAGGCCACGGAGGACGCGGCAGCGGCGUUGGCACUGCGAGAGAAGGAGCUCAAUUCCGCCAAGGAAAGGAGCGCCCAUCUCGAGUCCGAAUUUGCCACCGCCCAGGGCGAACUCGUCAAGAUGGACGAGGACAAUGUGAGCAAGGCCAAGGAGAUCAUGCGGGUCACGGAACUCCUCCGCAAGGCCAAGCAUGCGAUGGUGCUGGCGCGCGGCAACCACGACAAGUUGGCGGAGCAGCGGAGGAGGGAGACCGAGAAGCUGCACGAGAUCGCCAUGGCCGUACGCGAGCUGCUGCCGAGGUUCGAGCUGUAGGCCGCGAAGGUGGAUGGCACGAACGUCAGCGCCUUGAUCCCAUUCUUCUCCAACAUGGUGCGGAAGCUCGGGGCGCUUGUAACAUCCCAAAAUUUUAAACCUUUUCAUAUGCAUUGCCCUCAUGAGCAUCAUGCCACAAUUGCAUUUUGAAUCUUGUUUUGAAUUCCAAAAAGGCUUUGAAAAGAUUUUAUUUCAUUUUAAACCUUGGCCUUUUACCCAAUUGAGUUUUGAAUUUUAAACCAAUAGGGUGCCAUUCAAAAAAAGGGGGGUUUAUUGCAUAAAUGAGCUAUCCCAUAUUUUUGUUAUUUAAUUUGGAGUUGAAAAACUAUUUUAUUUAAUUAGUUAUAAAGCCCUAAAGGCAAUUUAUAAGCAAAACUAUUUUUAACUAUUUUAUUUUGAGGGGAAAUUAGUCCCAAAAGUUGAAUCAUAUUAUAAUAUGAUUUUACAAAUUUUCUAGAGUUGAUUUGAGUUGAUUUGGAGUUCAAAUUCAAAAGCUAGAAGAAAACAGAAAAAGAAAGGAUAAAAGAACAGAAAAAAAAAAAGUGGCCCGCCUGACCAUUUGGGCCGAACCGGCCCGGUUCCCGCGCGACCUACCGACCGGCCCAGCCAGCGAGCCCACCCAGCUAGCCCGCGCGCCGACCCGCAGCCACU
rnacentral:lncRNA from 1 species